rnacentral:lncRNA from 1 species
AAAUUAAUUUUAUACAAAUUUCUACUUCUUUAGAAUAAUUUUACAUAAACUUUUUGUUGGCUCGAUAUUUUUUUUUCCCGCUAAAAAAUAGGUCUAUCGACAUACUCAAAUUUGAAAUACGUGUUUUUAUAUAUAGUAUAGAUAUAUAAUAUUUAUAAAUAUAAUAUAUUUUAAUUUUAUAUAAGAUUUAAUUUAAUUUGGGCCAUUAUUGUUGGCCCAUAAAAUAAACCCAACAAGUACAACCGUGCAAUUGAGCCCAACUCUAAAUUUACAUAACACACUAUCUCUUUCAGACUUUUACUAUUACACAUAAUCCUAAAACAUGAUAACAUUCAAAUUUUCAAAUCUCUAAUUUUUUUCCCCUCUCUUUCUCUCUCUCUCUCUCUCUCUCUCUCUCUCUCUCUUUCUCUCCCUCAGACCCUCACCCAGUCAGGCAGUCACCCUAGCUCACAUUUCUUGCAAUUAUUUUGUAUUUGGAACUAUUGGACGUAUUGCAUCAAAUUGUAGAUAAUAUUAUAUAAAAAUUAAACUAUUGAUUAUAUAAUGUCGAGAAUUUCAAUCGGCUCGUUUAGAGCUCGAGCUCGGCUCGACUCGAAAUUAGGCUCGCUUGAGCUCGGCUCGAAUUAAUUUCAAGCCGAGCUUGAGCCUAGAUUUAGGCUCGAAAUUAAUUUCAAGCCGAAUUUGAGCUGAUAUAAGCUCGCUCGAGCUCGGCUCGUUUCCACCCCUAAUUGCACUUCUAGUCCCUAAAGUUUGAAUGAAAGUUUUAUUUUGGUAUUCAAACUUCUGAUUUCGGUAUUCGAAAUCCUGAACUUUGAGUAGUAUAUGUCACUUUAGUCCCUAAACUUUUAAAAGGCAUUUCAUUUUCGGUCCUUAACUCUGAUUAAUAAUUAUUGCUUAUACCUAAUUUAUCUAUUUUCUCACUGAAAAUAAAUUUACUGUUUUUUCAUCCAUCUUUUACUUUUUAAUUCAGUAAUCUAAUUUUUUAUAUUAAGAAAAGUGAAGCUCAAUAGGUAGUAGGAUUGAAAUAUGCGCGAAAAAAAUAGCCAAUAAAUGCAUGAUGAAUAGAUGAAUAGAUGCACUUGGUGCAGCCAAUAAUUUAUCCUUAUUAUUGGCUGAAAUUAAAACUUUUUUUUCGUUGUAGACUUUCCUUUUUUAUUUUUAUUUUUUUUUACUGUUUUAAGAGUUGAAGGGACCACUGAUGCCAAAUUUAAAAAUUUGAGGACCAAAAUGAAACUUGGCUAAAAGUUUGGGACUAGUGAUGCAAUUUAUCUUUAUCAAUUUUGAACAGGAAAGCAAAAAGAGCGAAUCUGGGAGCGGGAGGGGUCCGACCUCUGACUCUGUUUUUUGUUUGGCCGGGUCAGAUUUACGGCGGGCGGGCUAAUUUUAAUUCUAUUUUUGGCCCUCUCUUACCACUCCAUUCAAGAAGACGAGAAUAACUGUUUGGCGAAUUUUUAGCUGAUCGGAAUGAAUUAAAUGAAGAAAGGGUCUAACGGGGGAGAGAUUCAAAACGAGUUAUAUUUUUUUUAUAAUUUUAGUUUUUACUUACAAUCUCAUUUGGAACGGAUCCGAACGGAAGCUCCACUAAUCUGAAUCCAUUUGCAUCCCUAAUUUUAACUAUUGUCUUUUCCUACAAUUUUAGCCUUCCACCUUGACAUGCAGGUUGGGUGUUUGUGGAAUUAAUGAAGCUUCCACCAUUUGUCGGUUGUUAAAUGUUGAAGUCAUAGACUUAUCAUAAGCAUCACCUCAUUUAAAAUGGACUCCCUUUGAUCAUCUCCCCCCAAAAAAAUUAAAAAUAAAAAGAUAAAUAAAAUCACAGGUCACUAAUUUAUGAAGUUUUAUUUGGAUCAUCAAACUUUUAACUUCUAUUUCACUUGGAUCAUCACCACCGAAACUUCGACUAAUUUUUUAACGAGAUAAUGUAUGUUGCCCUUAAAAGUACUCUUUAGACAAUUAUUCUUGACUUAAAUGGGUCAGCAUCUUGUCUUGUGCGGAUUGGAUCGAGUCACGUUUGAAAUAGAGGAAAAUCGGAUUGAGCGGAGUCAUAUUUGAAAUAGUAUGAGACUAAUAAAAUCAAAUCAUAAUAAAGAUCCGCGGACACUGUGGGCGUGUUUGGUUCGAAGUCGGAGUCGGAAUCGGAAUCGGAAUCAAAAUAAGUUGGAAUCGGAAUCGGAAUGACUCAUUAUCUAAUUCUGUUUGGUUCAUCACCUGAAUCGGAAUCGGAAUAAAUCAUUUCCAUUGUCGGUGUUUGGUUCAGGUGAUAUAAAAAACGUAAUCAAAUUAGUAUAUUAACAUUAUCUUUAUAAUAUAUUAAUUUAAAUUCAAAUUAAAUAUUAAAUAUUAAAAAAUUACAUCAAAAUUUUGAAAUAAUGUCAAAAUUUUAAAUGUAUGUUUUUUUAAAAAAAUUAAACUUUGAAGUUGAGUGGAUAAUUCAAAAUAUGAAACUAAAUUUUGAUUUAUUCAAAUUCAAACUUAAAAUUACAAUUUAAAUUUUAAUUUGAAUCCAUAAAUUUAAUUUAAGUUUGAAAUAAAAUUUGAAUAAAACUUUAUAUAAAUUAAAAUUUAAUUUAAAUUCAAAUUAUAAGUUAGAUUCGAAAUAUUUGAUUAAAUUUUAAUUUUUAAUUUAAGUUUAAAUUAAAAUUUAAAAUAAUAUAUUUAAUUUUUAAAUUUUAACUCAUAUUUUAAUUAAAAAAUUUGAAAAAAUAAAUUUAAUUCGAAUAAAUAUCCAUUCCGUCCGGAUUCAACUUUCAAUCCGGCCUCCUAGGCCGGAUUGAAAAAAGAGGUGAUUGGAGGAUUUCCAUUCCACUCGGGAAUUGGAAUCGGAAUGGGACUCCCGCGUACCAAACAUCCACAAACGGAUUCAGCCAUUCCGAUUCCGAUUCCAUGAUGAAAAAGAAGCGAACCAAAUACGCCCUGUAUGUAUGCUUUAAAUGAAUUUAUUGCAUACUUUUAAUAGUUUAAACUUUUGAAGAAAUUGAUUUGGCUCAAAUCCAAAUUAUUUAAGUAAAAGAGAGAACCUUAAAAUUUAUCCGAAAGAUUCCAAAUUGGUUGUGGGCAAGGUGAGGCUAAAAAAGAAUAAAAUGAGAAGCUCCCAUAUUUAUUAUUUAAAGAAAAUUUAAUUAAAUUAAUAUAUCAAAUUAAAUGAGAGGAUAAUAAACAAUGAAAGCGCCAAGAAAUAUCAUGGCAUCUAGUGGUGUCUUUUGGUGCCUUGGCCUUUUUCGACUUCAAUUUUGAGUCAAAAAAUGAGAGAAAAAAAAAAAAGAUUAAUAUUAAAGAGAGAGAGAGAGAGAGAGAGAGAGAGAGAGAGAGAGAGAGAGGGGACAUAAUUUUAUGAAUAAAUGAAUGUAAGGAAGAUUCCACACGCCACUUUCACAAGAAGUUGUGACAAGUUAGCCCCUUCCCCAGCUACACCUUUCUAGUAUCUUUGCUACUGUCUGGUGCAGUUGAUUCGUAUCUCGGCGGUUACUAAAAAGAUUAAAAUUUGAUAUCUCGUAUGUAGUGAUGCAAAUGGAUUAGGGUUGGUGAAUAUUCUGUAUUGAUCUACUUCCGAUGGGACAAUAAGUGAGUGCCAAAAAUUAGAAAUUUAAUAAUUCCAAUCGAAUCCUUCCUGCUCCGCUAAGAAAUAGAGCGAGAGGCGAGAAACUUUUUUUUUUUUAAUUUGAUCUGUCCCGAUCCUCUAAAAUCUACUUCUAUCUCUUUCUGUCUCGAAUGGAAUAGUAAGUGGAAAAAAAAUAAUAAGAUAAAAUUCAACACACUCCGAAUCUAUCAUGACCUGUAAAGAAAAACAGAGCAGGAGGUGAGAGGUCCCUUUCACCCUCGAAUUCGUCUCGUUUGCAUCCCUAUCUGUAGGUACUUUCAAAGAAAAUAAUUUAGUCCCCGACUACUUAAGUAUCCAUCCAUACUUAUUGUCGCAUUAAAGAAGAGGUUGAUCAUAUCACAGGACAAACAAGGGACAUAUUUAUCUCUCCCUCCUCCUCUUCAACAAUAUUGCAUAUCACAUACAUCAAACUUAUUUUUUUAAUUAUUAAUAUUUUAAAAUUAAAAUAUAAUUUAAUAGAUAUAAUCUGUAUCAUAUAAAAAGUGUAUGUAUAAAAUAUUACAGAGUUUAAAGUUUUAUGAUAGGAUUUAUUAAUACAGUGCUGUUGAUGGCUUUUUAGAACAAGACCUACGAGUGUGUUAAAUAAUAAUAAUAAUAAUAAUAAUAAUAAUAAUAAAGAAAAAAAAAAGGGAAAUUUGAGAAAUCCCAAUGCUAAUGUCCUUUUUAAUAAACUUAAUGUCCCAUAAAUAAAACUUGUUCUUUGGUUGAGAGAUCUCAUCAAUACACUAUUUGGAGAGGCUUAUGUCAAGCCUAGUUAGUUAAUUCGCGAAUUAUUCGCGAAUUAAUGAAAAUCCGAAUUAAACGGUCCGUUUACGAAUUUUUCUCAAAAAAAGAGAAUUAUUCGCGAAUUUUUGGGCCAGCCGAAUUAUUCGCGAAUUAUUCCCGAAUUAUUAAAAAUAUGAGUAAAAAUCUUAUAUUUUGUAUUUUUAAAUAUAAAUUAUCUUAUAUUUUAUAUCUUAUAUUUUAUAUUUUAUACCGAAUCCGUUUUUUAAGCCGAAUUUUUUAACGAAUUUAAAAAUUAGAAAACGAAUUUUAUGCGUAUUAUAUCCGUACUGAAUUUUUGUCAAAUCCGAAUUAACUAACUAUGAUGUCAAGUGAAAUGCUUGUACACUAAAAACCAAUUAGAAUGCAAUGUAUAGUGACAAAGUGAUUCAUCAUGAAUUAAUGAAAAGACACUACAUUACAAAGAAAUAGUAAUCGUUAACAAGGAAUAUGUUUGUUGCAUAUUAAUGACAACAAUAAAUUAAAUAAUACAAUAAGCUAGUAAAUUUAUUUGAUAAACUUAUUGCAACAAUUUGAGAAAGAACUUAAAUGAAAAAAAAAACAAAAUAUUAAAAAGCAUAUAGCAUAGAUAAUAAAUAUGUAUAACAUAAGUAAUUAAUGCAAAUAUCUUGGAUAAUAUCUUGUUCGAGCUGAUCUUAAAUCCCGUAAAUUAUAAAAGAAUUGAUAGCAUAAAUUGUUGUUUUCUAUCUUUCGUUAACCCCUUUUAUUAACUAAGAAUUGCAUGUAUCUAAUUUAAAUAUUUAUAAAUAUAUAUAUAUAUAUAUAUAUAUAUAUUUAUUUAUUUAUUUAUUUAUUUAUUUAUUUAUUUAUAAAUAUUCCUCUUUUACAAUCAAAUAUACAAAGUUGUCACUGGUCUCUAAUGCUUAAUAAGUUACCUUAUAAAUAACUUAUAAAAUAAACAAAGAAAAACUUGUACACAAAGAUAUAUAGAUCAAUUAUUGGUAGGGUACUAUUUACACAACAUCCAAAUUCCACAUCUUUUCACAAAAAGGAAAAUGAAAGGGAAAACUCUAAACGGUUUAAAAGUAUCAAUUAAUUUUUUUCCUCUAUUUUAUUGAAUUGCAAAUAGGUAAAGUGAAAUGUAGUUAGCUUGUCAAAUUUCAAAUGUCACAAUGCUAAGUUUGAAAAGUUAAACCACUCUUAACCACCACGAGCGCAAAUUAAAGUUGGGCUAAUCAAUGGGUAUAAGUUACGUUACUAAUCCUUGACUUUUUUUUUCUAUUAGAUUGAUAUACAUUUUGGAUAAUAUAACAUCAGACACGUUGCUAAAUUUUUAAAUUCUAAAUUCUAAAUUCUAACUCUUUAUUCUAAGAUAAUGUAAGUUUUUUCUGCAUUCACUAAUCUGUGUAAAUAUUGUUGUCUCUGUCACCUUUUUAGUUAGUGCGUGCGUUAGGAUUCGCCUAAUAUUCAAUAUAUAUAAGAGCGAGAUAGUUAAGACUAAUUUUGAUCUUUUUUAUUUGAUAAAUCUUUUAAAUAAUAAUUAGUGUCUUGGAGAUGAGUUCAAAGGUCAUUUUAAUUUAGGAGAAAAAGAAAGCAUCAUAGCCAUUAUUAAUUCUAUUUUCAUUCUAUUUUACAUUUUGUUUUCUUCUUUCCAUUCCAUUUAGCAUAAAAUGUAGAGCACCACUUAUAAAUGCGCCAUAGACAUUCAAAUACAGUUAGUCAUUUAGAUUUGAAGAUUUCGAAUACAAUAUACAACCUGAAUGUAAAGCUAGAAAAAUUAAACCAAAUCAUAAUACAGAAAAUCGACUUGUCAACGAUAUUUUAUAUUUUAAGAUACGUAUAAUAAUACACAUUUUAGAAAAUAUAAAUGAGUUUAUCUAAUAAAAUGAUAAAUCAUAACUAACAAUCAUUUUAUUGUACUUACUUUCUUUUUCUCAUUUAUGAUUCUCCACAACUUUGGACUCCAUCACUUUUCUUUUCUUUUCUUUUUUUCUAUUUAUUUGGACUCUCUUUCCUUUCAAAAGUUUAUGAAGAAGAAUCAUUCUUUUUAACUUAUUGUUUCCUUUGCUUCUCAACUUCUUAUGCACUUUCCACUACUCUUCCAUGUGCAUAUGUCACAUUUCAUGUGCUCUUGUAUAAGUUGCAUAGCUAUAAAAUAUAUUUAUUUAUGUAUCCUUAUAUGGUGUAUGUAUAAAGCACAUACUUUAUUUGCUUCUCAAAUCCCAAUUUUUAUUCUUUUUCAUGCUCUUAUUACUCUCUUUUUUCCCCUCACUUUUUUCUUUUCCAAAGAGUGCCAACUUUUUCCAAAAUAUUAUGUUUUUCUCUCUCUCUUGAUAAGAAUUAAGUAAUAUCUUAGUCAAAAAUUUAAAAAAUUUUGUCAAAUAUAUACUUCAGUAAUUUUACUAAAUUCAAAUACUACUAUUUUUUAGCUGGUGAUAGAACUAAAUUAAUCAAGUAAGAUUAAAACUAUGUGAUUAAAUUUGAUAAAUUUUUUUACUAAUUAAGUUUAAAAACUUAAAUAAAAAGAUUGGAAGUUGAGCGGGUCACAAUUAAAAAAUAAUAAUAAUAGAAAUAAGUUGAGGGAGGUAUUUUAAAAAUGGCAUAUAGUUGAGGGGUCUCCAUACAUAUUUACCUUUUUUUUUUUUUUUUUUUUGAGUAAAGUGGAGUACAAAUCAAGUUUCCUUGUCAUUCAUAAUUCCGCUAUUUCUACUUCAAUCAUUGACUACAACUUUUCAAGAUUGGUCCACAUUAUCAACAUUGAAUAGCCAAAAUUUAAAAAAAAAAUUAAAUUCAAAAAAAUAGAUAGAUAGAUUUUUCUUUUUUACCCUUUCUCUUUUUUAGAGAAAUAAACUUAUGAGUUAGUUAAUUGAGGGCCCAACGGCUUGAUUAAUUAACUAUGAUCACUGUCUAAUCUGAUUCGAAUUUGUCAAUUGCGCGUAAUUUAUUUCUUAAUUGAUCUAUGGUUAAUUAAUUUAGGGACCAUUUGGUUCUAUAUAGUUGUAAUUGUAUAUAGAUUCAAAUUUGAAGUUUGUUUUGAUGUAUUUGAAUUCAAUUGCUACAGUUGUAACUGCACGAGAAGGCUCAACUGCAGCAGUUGAAAUUAUGCCCAAAUUAGGCGCAGUUUUAACUACAGCACUUAGAUAAAGUAAAUUUAAUCAAAGAUAAGCUUAUAUACUUUCACAAUAGCUUUUUAAAUAGAUUUUUUUUCUUUUCUACAUAGAGAGUAAUCUCACCAAACCAUAUAUAAAAUAAUAGAAACUCAUAAAUGCACUUCCAACUGCAUAAAUUUAAAUAAAGUAUUUAUAGCUGCAGCACUUUUUUAUAAUAUUUACUAAACAAGAUGCAUAUAAUUAUAAUUAUUAUAUUUUUAACUACAUUAAUUUUUAACUAUAUUAUAUUUACAAUUAUAUAGAACCAAAACAACCCUCAUUAGAGUAUUAAACUUAGCAUUUUAAUAAUAUCAUACAUCCUAGUCCAAUUAAAAAAUAAAAAGAUGAAUUUCCACUUCCAAAAUAAAAAAAAAUUGCAUUUUCCUCUCUCUCUCUCUCUCUCUCUCUCUCUCUCUCUCUUGUGAGUUUUGAUUUUUUUUAAUUGGAUUAGAUAAAAUUUUUCUCCCUUACUAUAUUCUACAUUUGCCUUGUCCUAAUUUACCCAAUAUGAAUAAAAUAUAGUACUUCAUUAAUAAAUUUUUAAAUUGCAAGUUCCUUGCAUAAUAAAAUAGCACUCUAAAAUAGAGGACAUUUUCCACUUGUUUUAUGCAUGAAACAUUUAGAUGAAAUUUUUUAACAUUAAAAAUUAAAGAUUAAUAUAGAAAUCAACAUUAAAAACCUCUAAAUUAACAAGUGAACAAAAAUAAAUGACAUUAACUACAAGUGCAUAUGUAAAACAAUGAAAGUAUGCUAUAUAUAAUUAGUAAAUAUACAUCAAUGACUUUUUUUAAAAUAAAUUGAGAAUAGAACAAAAUUAUAGUUAUCCAAGUGUAAAUAAAAAAUUAAUAAAUUUAAAUAUUUUAAUUAGUUUUUGGAAUCAUAACUCCAACAUAUAUAGCAAUAAUUUUAUAAAUUGGAAGAAACAAAAAAGCUAUUACAACUAUCUAAUUCUCAAAAUUUUCUUGCAAUUCUCAACCUCUAACCCAAAAUAAAAAAAUAAAUAAAUAAAUAAAUGGAAAUUUCAUCCAAAUUAUACACAAAAACAAUUAGAACACUUCAAAUUUAUUUCCAAUUGAUCCUAAACAACACAUAUAUAGGAACAAAGAUUUAGUAAUUGCAUGUACAAUUCUUAUUGAAGCCACUUAAUUAAUUUCUAGACAUGUCAUAACUAAAAUUGUGUCUUUUAACACACACAUAUCUAAUUAAACAUGUUCUCCAUAAUAAAAACCUAUAACAAUUAAUUAAGAUUAAUUUAAUUACUUUAAUUAAUAAUCCACACAUAAAUAACACAUUUAGCAAUUAAUUAACCUGCCACAAGGCCAAAACCCCACCUCCCACCGCGGCCGCCGCCGUCGCGAACCGGCCUAAGCUCACACUCCGUCGACGCGCGCCGUUGGGGUGGUACCCGGGGUCCUGAGGGUACAAUUCGCCAGGCGGCGUGUAAAUCCACGGAUAGUACGGCGGGGAGUACGCCCCCCACGGCGGCGGAGGGCAGAGGGCGGACGGCGGCGAUGGAACAUACGGAGUGUACGGCGGCGGCGGAGGCGGGUACGACCAUAUUGGCGGGGGCGACGGCGGCGGCGGAGGAGAGUACGAAUAUUCGGGGGGCAGCGACGGCGGCGGAGGGCUGGUGAUGGAACAGGGAGUACCGCACGGAUUAUCACACGUGCACUUUACUCCCAACAGUUUCGUACGGCUGAAUGAUGGAACUUCUAAAUCGACCUCGGCACCCGUGCCGAUGAGGAAAAGCAGCUGCAGAAGGAAAAUGAUUAGGAUUGGUUUCCUCAUCAUUUGGGUAUUGUGGAAUUUGAGCUCUCUCUCUCUCUCAAAAAUUUGGGGAUAAUUUGGGAUUAAUUCUCUUAUUACUCUCCCCUCUCUUUUUUGUUCUCCUUGUUUCUUGUAUAUAGAGAGAGAGAGAGAGAGAGAGAGAGGGGGUCUUAUUGGGUUUAGCAUUAAAUUUUGUCCCUAGGCUUUUUUUUUCUUUUUUUCUUUUUUUCUUUUUUUUUUUUCAAGUGCUCAUAGGCGUAAGGGUAAGGUGACGUGGAUGUGAUGGCUCUAUGUUUGUUGCAUUAAUUAAUUACUAAUGGAUUUUGUACAACUGGGGUUGUAGCAAAUUACUACAACCUAGAUAGGUGGCAUACUAUAUAUUAUAUAUUUUUAACUAUGUAGAUGAGGAAAUAAUUGAGCUUUCAAUUCACUUUCUCACUUUUGUACUUUUUUUUCUCUUUUAUUUCUCUCCCAAAUUUUCUUUUGGAUACAAUAUUUUAAUGUUUCUUUUUUAUUUUUAGCAAUUCUUUUAUGAUAAAAUAUCUGAUUUUCUAUUUUUGCACUUUAGUAUCUUAUUAUUUAAAAUAUAACACUUUAAUAUUCUAUAAUCUUUUUUUUUUCGCCAUUAACUCUUUGCUAAAUCAUAUAUAAAACUUCAGAUAUUUUCUACCAUUGGUAGAAAAUAUCUGAUUUUCUAUUUUUUCACUUUAGUAUCUUAUUAUUUAAAAUAUAACACUUUAAUAUUCUAUAAUCUUUUUUUUUUCGCCAUUAACUCUUUGCUAAAUCAUAUAUAAAACUUCAGAUAUUUUCUACCAAUGGUUAAUCAAAUAUUCAUUUUAAUGCCCUGUAGUUUACUAAAUUUUACUUCAGUAUUAUGUAAUUGUAUCUUUAUCACUGAUUAAACAGAAAAAUUAUCGGAGGGAAUAAUUAAAAAAAAGAAAUGAAACCACUUGUUACUAAAGUGAUAUAUUUUAAAUCACGGGAUACUAAAGUGACAAAGCACGAAACCGCAGGGUGGUAUUUGAAGUUUUUUUUUUCUUCAUUGUUGAUGUAUAAAGUAGACGAUUCUGAAUUUCGAUACUGUUAGCUUAAAUAGACCAGCAUCCUACCCUGUGGUGGGAGGCUAUAUGGGCCGAGUCAUGUUCGAAAUAGCGUGAGGCUGUGUUGGACCGAGUCAUGUUCGAAAUAGCGUGAGGCCAGGUGGGCCGAGUCACAAUCGAGACCCGUGGGCGCUGUUUCUGUACGCUUUAAGUGAAUUGGUUGCGUAUUUCUAACAGCUCGAGCUUUUGGGAUUAAUGGUUAGCGCCAACGAUCCGACAAGUGGUAUCAGAGCCAGAGGUCACGGGUUCGAUUCCUGCAUGCUGCAAAUGUGUGCAGGUGCUGGAGGGGGGACUGUUGGCUUAAAUGGGCCAGCAUCCUGCCCUGUGGCGGGAGGCCAUGUGGGCCGAGUCAUGUUCGAAAUGGCGUGAGGCUGGGUUGGGCCGAGUCAUGUUCGAAGUGGCGUGAGGCCAGGUGGGCCGAGUCACAAUCGAGACCCGUGGGCGCUGUUUCUAUACACUUUAAGUGAAUUGGUUGCGUAUUUCUAACAGCUCGAGCUUUUGGGAUUAAUGGUUAGCGCCAACGAUCCGACAGAUACACCAGCGCGAAUCUUAAAGCAUAGCGCGCAAUCUCGAUGCACGAUGGGUGGUAAAAUCCGAGUUAUUUUUUAAACUAUAGAAUUCAAACCAAUCAAAAUGCUUAACAUGAUAAUAACAAUAAUAAUAAUAAUAAUAAUGAUAAUAAUAAUAAUAAAGUUCAAGUUUUAUAUAUUGUUUGUGUAAAUAUCCUGAUAUUUUUAAAUAUAUUUCUGUCGUCAGAAUUCAUUAGAAAAAAUUAGUUAACCAUAAGUAAUAUAUUUAACCCUACUUAGUUAGUAAAGUGAAUUAAUAUUUUUAUCCCUCUUUAAUUAACAAUUUGAAUUUUUAGAGAAAUAUAUUUGUGAUGACAAAAAAAGCAUUUCACUUAUAAAAUAAUUAGUGUUUUAACGGUAAUAAACCAGAGAGACAUAUUUGAAAACAUUAUGAUUUUUGCAGGAAUAACAUAUAAAAGUUAAACUCUAUAAGAAUAUAUUUGUAAUUUACUAUAUUUAAAGGGACCUAUAUGAAAUUAACCCUAAUAUAUAUAUAUAUAUAUAUAUAUAUAGACUUGGAAUACUAUUAAAUAUAAACACUCUUUUUGCUAUCAAAUUUUUUACCCUUGGAUGAAAAAUUGUAGGGUCGGGAUGAUAUUAGUCGGUUAGAGUUGAAUGGUCCCCCUAGGAUUGAGUGGUCCCCACUGGAUUAUAGUAUUUAAUCCAAUGGUUAGAAAUAAUGAAAAGAGUUGAUCCAAAGGCUAAAAAACUGGUAGCAACAAUGGGAUUUUGCUACUAAUAGUAGUCCAGUCGAACUAUAUAUAUAUAUAUAUAUAUAUAUAUAUAUAGAGUGCGGCUACUAUGCUAUUGGAAGCACGGAGCCUUCCGUGCUUCCACCUCGUUUUCGAUGUUGCGACUUUCAAAUCGUCGAUCGGCUCCAUUAAACUUGAUCUAGAGUAUUUGGAGUAUCUAAAAAAAAAUUUUAUUAUUUUUCGAUAUCAUUUGCCUAGUGAUCGAAUGGGCUCAAAAUAACAAAUUUCAAUGGCCAUAGUGAGCUGUUUGCAAGUUUAACGGUGUAGAAAUAUCCAAAUCACGUGAAAUUUUGAUAGAAAAUUCUUUAUACUAUAUAAACAAGAUCAAUAUCUUUGAUUUAAAAUUUUAAUAUCAUAUUAUUACAUUUUGUAAUAUUUUUAUUUUCAGUCAUUGAUUUUGAGCCCUUUCGUUCACUAGGCAAAUGAUAUCGUAAAAUCAUAAAAUUUAUUUUCUAGGUACUUCAAAUACUCUAGAUCAAGUUUAACGGAGCCGAUCGACAAUUCGAAAGUCACAAUAUUGAAAACGAGGUGGAAGCACGGAAGGCUCCGUGCUUCCGAUAGCAUAGUAGCCUCACUAUAUUAUAUAUAUAUAUAUAUAUAUAUUAUAUAUAUAUAUAUAUAUAUAUAUAUAUAUAAUAUAUAACACACAAAAAAAAGAAAAGCCGGUAUACUAUCGGUAGCACGGAGACCUCCGUGCUACCAAGUUGUUUUCAAUUAUGCGGCUUUCAAAUCGACAAUCGGCUUCGAUAGACUUGAUCUGCACUAUUAAAAAUGUUUGGAAACUAAAUUUCAUAAUUUUUCGACAUCAUUUGACUAGUGAUUAAAAGGUCUCAAAAUUGACAAAUUUUCGACAUCCUAAAUUCAAGUCUUUUAUCAUCAUUUUUUAUAAAAUUUUUAUUUUCAGCCAUUGAUUUUUAGACUACUCGUUUGAUAGGUAAAUAAUGUCAAAAAAUUAUGAAAUUUAGUUUCCAAACACUUUCAAUAGUGUAGAUCAAGUCUAACGGAGCCGAUCGUUGAUUUGAAAGCCGCAUCAUUGAAAACAACUUGGUAGCACGAAGACCUCCGUACUACCAAUAGUAUACCAGCCUAGCUAUAUAUAUAUAUAUAUAUAUAUAUAUAUAUAGUCCGGCUACUAUACUAUUAAUAGCACGAAGCACUAGGUGCUACCAAAUUUUCCGCCGUUAGAUCUACCCUUUUGAUCAUUUUCACCCGUUAGAUCAUACUAUUCAACCAGCCACCCACUCAACCCUAGGGGGCCCACAUCAUCCUAACCACACAUCUCUUAAUUCAAUGGCCAAAAACUUGGUAACACCAAUGACUUGGUGCUAUUAAUAGCAUAGUAGCCUAGUUCUAUAUAUCAUUAAAAACGUGCCACAUCGGCCGUUAAAAUAGUCAUUUUUGAGACCUUUUGAUCGCUUGGUAAAUGAUGUCAAAAAAUUAUAAAAUUUAGUUUCUAUAUAGUUCCAAUAGGAUAGAUUAUACUUAACGGAGCCGAUCAUCGAAUCGAAUUUCCUAUCAUCGAAAAUAACUUACAAGUACGGAGGUCUCCGUACUUUCGAAAGUACCGGAGACUUACUCUCUCUCUCUCUCUCUCUCUAUAUAUAUAUAUAUAUUAAUUCGAAUUUGUUGGACCCUCGAACUUGACCUCACCCAAAAUUGUAUGGUGAGUAAUCUCCCGCCCUUCGAUCGCGAUCGGACGGUCGAUCGCUUUUGAUGGUGAUUUUGAAGUGGACUAUACAUGUAUCUGCGUUAGUUGGAUGACAUUUAAUUUGCUUCGAGAUCGACAAGGUGCUGCAAUCGGACGGCUCACAUCUCUCUCCGUUAAAGUUUCAUUUAUGAUUGUAUUUUUGAUUAGUACUAAAUGUUGGUUUUACUAAGUCUUCGGAAUUAAUGACAUAAAAUGUUGUGAUAGAGAUAGGUGGAGAGGGAAAAAAAAAAAAAAGGAAAAAAAAUGAUCUUAAUUUUAUAAGAUAGGAGAAAAAAAUUACUUUUUUAUGUUUUUUAAUUUCCAUCUUCUUUUCGAUCUUUUCGUGGUAAUAUGUUCAUAUAUAUUUAUAUAUAAUUUAAUUAUUUAAUAUGUUGAAUUUGAUGAAAAUAAAUUAACUAUUAUAUUUACGAGGUAACGAAAUUUACUUACGUACAUAAAAAUAAAUUAUCGAACUCAAUAAACUAGUUAUACUAACAAUAAGCUAUACAGAAUAAAUACAAAAAUUGAUUGAAUUUAAUUUUCAGACUGUAUGAGUUAUAUUAAAAUAAAAAAAAUAAAAAAAUAGCUAUAUUUGUGACACUCUAGGAUUUGAAAUAAUAUAUAUUUAAAACAUAGUAAAACUACAUAUCAUAACCCCGCAAUGUACUAUUUUGGGUGAUGACUAGGUUCAAAAGGGUCCAAAAGGUUAAUAGGGUUAAAUAUUUUAGAACUAGAGUAAUUUUAGGACAGACGAUCCCCCUAAUAACCAAAAGGUCGCGACACUUCAAGAGAACUAAAAUUUCUCUAUACUUAAGUUACGUUGGAUCUAAAGAUUCGUCAAUCCAAAUGCCCUAUAAAAAUUAGAAUUUUUAUAUGGCUAAUGGUUAAUAACACGAGUCAGGCUACUAUAGUCUAUAUAAGUAUAGAUCACUUUAUAUUUAUAAGUUUUCGGCCGUUAGAUCUAUAUAUCAUUUGAUCAUUUUUAACUGUUAGAUUACACUAUUCAAUCAACCACCCACUCAACCUUAAGAAAUUACUAUUAUUCUAACCGGCGAUCACUAUCAUCUUAACCAUACAUUUUUUUAUUCAACGAUCGAAAGUUUAUGAGUACAAAAUGGACUAUAGUCAUAGCAGUAUAGUAGCCCUAGCCUAAUAACACAUUAUGGACAGAGAAAAACAUGAUGAAGAAAGAGUGGAGAAUCAAUUCAAAGGGAUUUGCACUUUUGUAACAGGCUAGUUUAGCUAGUCUGCUAACUAUCUCUUUAUUGCAUGUAGGUUUGUGAGGAUUAUAUGGCUUUCUUUAAACAUAUUUAUAUGGCUAAAUUAUAUAAAAACACUAUGUCAAAACUCGAUUUUUCACUUUCCCUCCUUGUCAUUUAAAAACCUACACUUUGCCCCCUUGUAAAAUGAAAAAUAUUCACUUCGCCCCCAGCCAUUAGUAAACUGUUAGGAUUCCGUUUAUAAAAUAUUAUUAUAUAUUUUUUUAUGCCAAAAAUGCCCUCAGCCUUCUCUACUGUGAACAUGGUGAUGGGCAAAAUGGUGAGGGGCAAAAUGGUCAUUUUAUCAUUAUAGUUCACACCGUACCCUCUGUGAAUAUUUUUCAUUUUAUAAGGAGACAAAGUGUAGGUUUUAAAUGACAGAGAAGGAAAGUGAAAAAUCGAAUUUUGACAGAAAGAUUUUCUGUAAUUUAGCCUAUUUAUAUUUAUAAAAAAAAAAUCUUUACCCUCUGAUGUCAAAGACUAGUGGUUGAAGUGAAGGAUGAAUGAAAGAGUGAAGUGUCAUCAGAGACAAGGAUGGAAUAAUAUUGUAGUCAUGGCUAUUUUUUGGUGUAUUUGGUGAGAAAGUAAUAAUAGAAUAUUCCAUGCAUGGGGUGCCUUAUUCAGACAUGAUUCUUGUAUAGAGAAAAUUAACUAUUUUGCUUCAAUGUGGGUAGAUAAGUUGGUGUAGAGCAAAAGAAGGAAUUCUUUUAUUUUUCAGAUCAAGAAGAGAGCAAUAAUAUUGAUGCAUGUUGAUAGUUUUUUAUUCUUCUUUGUUUGUUGAUUAAUUUGCUUGUUUAUUCAUCUAGGAUGUGAUGGGUUUUAGUGAUUAUAUAUAUAUUUUAGUGGUAUAUUAUUUUAAGAGUUUGCUGAUGAAACAUUUUAUUUUUGUGGUUCGAUCUCUGCGUGAAAUAUAUGAAACAAUUGUUGUACUCUAAAAACUUAAACUGUUAGAGAACACGAUGUUUAUAUAUUUUUUUAUAUUUAACGCUUCUCCUUAUGCUUGGGGUAGAGACUUUUUACAAUGGCCCAUGACGUGGACUUGAAUUAAAUGAGAGAAAAUUAAUGAUAUUAGGAGUCUACCAUUACUCGAACUCAGGACCUUCUUCUCUGAUACUACGUGAAAUAUAUGAAACAAUCGUUAUAAUCUAAAAGAUUAAGUUUUUAGAAUACAACGAUUGUUUCACACUCUGUACGGUUAACUUUUUUUUUUCUUUAAUAAAUAUCUCUCAGAGAUUUCUCUCCUAUUUAUUACUCAAAAAAAAUAAAUAAGUAAGGGAGCUUUGGACUUGUGAAGCCUAUGCAAGCAACUUCAAAAUGAUGAAAAAGGAAAACUUUAAUUUUGGCUACAAUGAUUUCAGUGGGAGAGGUUUCAAAAAUUUUAGAACCUAAACUUAGAAAGAAGGGUUGAAUAUGAAAUAUUAAUAUAUCAUUGACCUCUAAUAACUUUUUAAAUUUUUGGCUAAAAUACUGAGAUUUUUUUUUGUAAAUACUUUUUUUUUUAACUUUCAAAAACCUAUAUUUUACCUCAAAUUUUCAGAAAUAUUUUCAGAGAGUUACAGCAUUAAUGGAUAGAUGAAAUUAUCAAAAUUUUCUUACUUGUUGUUCUAUAAGAAAAUUUUUUAAUAUAUUUUUAUCAUUUUCAAAGAUAUUUUCGAUAGAAAUUAUAAAAAUGAAGGGAACAGUGACAGAACCCUAAUGGAGGGGGACUAGAUGCAUCAACUUAAAAUUUUAAGUGCAUAAAAUAUAAGUUUUUGAAAGUCAAGAAGAAAAAGUAAAAAAAAAAAAAAGAUAUUUAUAGAAAUUUUUUUUGUAGUUUAACCAAAUUUUAAAGAUAAUUGAUUAUUUCAUAUGGUAUUUACAGGAUUGAGGCUUUUUGUUGCCAAUUCCUAGCAACAAAUAUUACUACAUUAAAUCCCUUUCCAAAGUGUAAAAAUCAAAUGGUCCAUAAUUUGUCCUUGACUAUGUUUAUUAUGUCAUGAUAUACACAUGGGAGAAAAAUGAAAAACAAAAAAUCAUUUUCACUUUUCUUUUGAUUUUGAUCAUUUGGCUCUCAAUUUGGUGUACCCAUGCUACAGGAUAUGGAUUGUUCACCUAAUUUGACCCCCCCCCCNGACAACUAAUUAAUUACUAAUUAAUUAUGCUCCUCCCCCUCCCCCCAAUAAAAGGGGGGUCCACACCACUCACUGCCUCUACCUGCACCAAGACAUUUUUUUUUUUUUUUUUUUUUUUGAGGGAAAACACGCCCUAAGGUGAUUUUAUUUAAUUAAUCAGUGGAUACAGACUGGAAAAAAUCAUCAAUAGACGACCAUAAAAAAAACUUUUUGAGUUGUAUAGUUAUAUCGAGGAUUUUUCUAUUGUUAAGUUUUGUACGCGGUAAAAAGCGAGUUAAUUAAAUACUAAUUAAGUUAAUGAAAUAAUUAUGAUUUUACCUUUAACUAUCCCUAGCUUGUAGGGUAAAGAACUAAUGCAUGUUUUUCUUUUCUUUUUAUUUAGAAUAUAGUUUUUAAUUAUAUAGCUUAUAUCAGAAUUUUUUAACUAACUUAUUAAGUGUGAUAUCUAUUAGUUUUACUUGAAUUAACUCUUUCUCCAUAAGUUUUGUUAAAAUUAUGAAAAUCACUUUUCUCAUGAUAAGUUUACAAAGUUUAUAGUUAAUUGGAGUGUAAAAUGAAAUUUUACAAAUAGGGGUUUUUUGAGAAUAUCUUUGUUAUAUUUACGAUGGCAUUAGUAAUAUUCUAAACCUUAAAAGGGUAUUGAUGAAAUUAUAGUUAGUAGUAGGGCGUUUCAAAAAUUAUCUGUGUUUUUUAAAAUACCUAUAUGGAGCGAGAUUCAAAGUACUUGGUAAUAUUGCUUAAUAAUAAAGACAGAAACACUACAACAGAAUUAGGUUAUAGGGACACAUGUUUGGGACACAUGUUUGGGACACUUUUGAGUAAGUGUCCCAUUUAUCCUAAAGCUUAAAAAAACAUCUAGUAAUGCCUAAAUAUAAAGCCCAAUCCAACCAAAAAUAAAAGAUUACUCUACUCAACCCACCACAUCCAGUCCAUUUGGCCCGAUUACAAAUAGAAAAGAAAAAAGAAAGAAAAAUCAAUUACCAUCUUUUCUUCUCUCUUCACUCAAUCCACUAAAAUUCUAGACGAAGAGCCUUUCCUGUCGUCCUCCUCCGCCACCACAGUCAACGGGAUAGAGUUUCGGCGGUUGCUACAUGCUUAAAUAAGUGUUCGUAAAUUAGCAGCACUCUUUUAGGUUAUAGCGACACUCUUUAACUGUCACUAUAUACCUAGCGACCCCACAUAUAGCAACACUUUUUAAAAGUGUCGGUAAUUUUAGCUAGUAGCACUUUUUUGACAUGUACCUACAUUUAAAAGUGUCGCUAUAGACCGUUUUUGUUGUAGUGAAACGAGCUACUCUAAAUAGUGGUGGUUUUACUUAAACUUCUGAUUCAGUUUAUCUAAUUGUUUAACAUCUUACAGGCCUUUAAUUUUAAAUUUUUAAGUUUUGAUUAGACAAAGAAUUUGUUGAAAAGGAAAAAAACAAGCAUUGGUGGUCAUGUUAACAUAAUUCAACACAUUUUUUAGUUCUUCAAAAAGAUUAAAAGGCUUUCAAAAUCUCCUUUACCUUUUUUUGUUUUUUUUUUUUCUUACACUUCUAGUUAAAGCUAUAGAAAGUGUAAACAUGGUAUAUAUAUAUGUAGACCUUUAAAAAAUUAACUUCAAAAGUUUAAAUUCUUUUAUAUGACCAUGGAAAAAUAAAUUGUUACACAUAUACAUUGCAAAAUCUCUAUCUAGUUUCUCCUAUGUGGUUUGUAACUCUUAAGCUCUAACAACAAUGGUCCUAUGUGAAAAUAUAUUUUUAUACAAAAGCACCUAACCACAAUUAAUUGAGUCUAAAGGACCAUGAUUAGAAUAUGCUACACUAUAUUUUAUACAAUACUUUUGACUAUAAGUCAUCUUUAUUUAAAAACUUUGCACAAAAAAAAAGAAUUUCUAUUGCAAAUGAUAUAGUGACAUAAGAUUAUCUCAAAAGAAAAAAUUUUAAUUUAGAGCUUUCAAUUCGUUUAAUACAAAGAAUAGCUACUGGAGCGAAUUUUACCAUAACACUUCUACUAAGAAUAUUACUCGAGUGGCCUUAUAUGAUAUAGCAUUACACUUUACAGCAGAACCAAAUGAGCCCUAAUUCAACAAUAGAGGUGAAUAAAUAAGGGUCAAAUGGUCAACAUAAACAUAUUUUUCAAGCAAGGACAAUUGCAAAGCACUAUGGUUUGGAACAAAAAUUUUUUGAAUAAUUUGGACCCUUGUUGGAAGGAACAAAAGAGAAGGAUAUGAAAGAGACCCACUACCAACUUGAUACUAUUGGUUUUGGAAGGAUCAUAAAAUAUAAAGAGGACCCAUACACACCAUACACACACAAAGAAAAGAGUGGGGCUCAAAAGAAUGGUUUUGAGUGGGAAUCUACUAAUUAUCAAUGCAAUGGGGUAUUGAUUGAGAUAGGAAAGCAAUUUCCAAGCAACCUCUUUCAAUUCAAAAGCAUCUUCUUCUUUGGUCUCUAUAGCACUCUCCCUUAUCUUCCAAACAUGCACAUUGAGAAGCUUUGAACAAAUUAAUGUUGUACAAAUUGUGACCUUGGGUGGAGGAUUCUCAUUGGCCUUUUCUUUUCUUGAAUAUUGUAAUGUUGUACUAUUCAUUUCCAUUUUAUACAAACAAAAAAAAAAAAAAAUUAUGAUUAACUAAUAAUGGAUGAUUACUAAGUAGGGACAAAAGGAUUAAGUGGAAUAGCAUGGAGGUUUCAUUAGGUAUAAGGUCAUAUGUUUUGAUAAAUUGUAUAAGGUCUGCGGUAGCAAUAAAAUACUGUAAGUACGAGAAAAAAGUCCAACUUAGAAUCAAUGAGCACGAGCCUAUCCGUGUUUUACAUCCCUGCUCUUAAUAUAUAUUUCUGAGUCUGUUUCCCACUAGAUCGAUCUUUUGGAUAAUAUGAUAUAUAGUAGAGUUAGUUUAAAAUUCCUUUGUUCUGUGAACACAUAAUUAAAGCACUGUUAGACUUGCAAAACUCUAAAAUCGGUCGAUCUCUCCUCCGUCUGUCGCAUGUGUGUAUGUAAAUAGUACGUGGGUAACGAUUUUUUCUUGACCAGUUAUUUUUCAUUUUUUUUUUCAUAUUGUUGGAAAGAAAAAUUGUAAGAAUUAGCAUUAGAUAAAAACGGCAAAACUACAUCAAAGUUGGGCUCAGAGAACCAUCUAAAAGUAAAAGAAUAAUAAUUCAUAGAAACCUUUGCUAAGUUAUGAACAAUACAGUUUCCCCUGUAACUAGUAUAAACAUACAAGGAAUUGAUUAAUUUUGGCUAUGGGCUUUUAUGUUGGGAUAAAACAUGUGGGUUUGUUGUGUUGGGCCAUGAUAUAUAUCAAGGGUAAUGUUUUUUCUUAUUCUUUUAUGGUUUUCUUUUUUUUUCCCUUUUUUUAAAAAAGUGGAAUUCAUGUAAAUUUAAAUAUUUUUGGAGUUACCAAUUUAUCACAUGUAAAAAAAAAAAAAAAAAAGGUCUUUGGUUUAUUAUUAUUAUUACUUUACGGACGAAACAAUUUGGUAAGCACCAGAAUACCGCAAUGAAUACAAAAAAAAAAAUUCAAUACGAAAAAAAAAAAGAAGAAAUACAAAGAAAAAGAAAAGAUAUUGAUGUGUCCAUAUGUUAUAGACAGGUUUUUUUUUUUUUCUUUUUCCUUAAAAAAAAUUUGUAAACUUCACCUAUGCAUGAUAUGGUCCAAAUGUCUAAUCUGUGAUUGUUACAACUUUUAUUAUUUAAAAGAAUUAAUUUGAUUAAUCCAUACCUGUGCUUAUAAUUUUAUGAUGUUACUGACCUCUUUCUAACUGAUGAAAAUGGAUUGUUAAUUUAAAUCCAAUUAUAUAAUUGACUGGAAAUCCAAUUAUAUAAAAUUUAAAUAUUUAUUAUUUUAUAAUUAUUUUUAUAAAUUUUAAAUUUUUUAAUCAAGAUACUAAUUUAAAUAGAAAUAAUUUAUUAUUUAUACUUUAAAUUUUAUAUAUUUUUUAAAAAAAUUUAAAACUUUACCGACACUGCACGUCCCGUGCCUUCCGGGCCUAAGGGCCAUGCUGGACCAGAGGCUUGGUAGCUCCAGCCCGGCACGGCCCGGUUCUCGGAUUUGGAACCGGGCUUGGCCUGGCUAAUGUCAGUCGUGUCUGCUCAGCACGGCCCACAUUACACCCCUACUCCAGUCCCAACCCACCAGAAUGAAGCGAUAAGUGGGGGAAAAAUUAUAAGAUAAAAACUGACCGGUCUCAAAUCCGUUCUGACUUGCCAAGAAAACUAGCCAGGACCCAGGAUCCAUUCUGACCGGCCAAAAACUAACUACCCUGAAGUUUUGGAAAUAACUAAAAAUUGGGACAACAAAAAAUGGUACAUUAAUUUUAUAUUUGAUAAAUGGUUUAAUUAUAUAUGAUGGAUUAAUGUAGAAUUUAACUUAAGUAACUUUAGUUUGAAAAGUUCCAUUUAAUUUUUACAUCAACAACAUCUUGGACUAUGCUCAACCCAAAAAGAGGGCAUGGGCUGGUGAAGGCCUAUACUUGAGGGGGUUUCACACAUUUUUCAAAUUUUUAUAUUCCUAAUUAAAGAUUCUAGCAUGGGUAAGUGCAAUAUAAUUAAGAAGAUUACAUCAUCAUACUUAAUUUUUUUUUUAUAAAAAAAAUUGUUUUUUGUUCACUAAACAUGUGGGAGAAAGCAAGUAUGUUCUAUAAUUUUGCGACCUUUUUUCCCGUCAUUCAGAUUAAUCUAAAAUUCAUCUAUUGUUAAUUAAAGACAAGGACCGAAAUUAAGAAUAUUCUGGACUCGAAUUCAGAACCUUCUACUACUUUAAUUUUAUGUAAAAUAAUUAAUCAUACCUAAAACUUAAGUUAUUUAUUAGAAAUAAUAUUUUAAUAUUGGAAAAAUCACAAUUAGCCUUCUAUUGUUUAGCACAUAAUUAUUGCUUCACCACCUUGGGAUACGAAAAGUGUUACUUCGCUGCCACACAUUUUAUUUUUAUUUCAUCAUAAAAACUUUGUCAUUAAAAUUGCAGCAAAAUGAUACAAUUUACAAACCAAAUGAUAGGAAACUAAAAUUAUAAACUAUUAAUGUGAUAUAUUUUACCACAUAUGGUUACAUUAUUUUACUAUCCAAAUUAACAACAGAUCGUUACACUAAAAGUGACAUUUUUUGAACUGCGAUGUGACAAAGUUAAAUAUGCUAAACAACAUGGAGGCUAAGGAUUUUUUUUUUCCCUCUUGAAUAUUUUAUGUCCAACAAGGUUUAUAUAUGCAUAACAACCAAGAUUUGAUAGGUCAAUUAUGAAAAAAAAAAAAACAUUUGUCAAAGGCCACAAAAUUGAAAAACAAAAUGUGGUUUAACCUAGAGAGUUGACUUUGUUGUUGACAAGGUGAGUUGACCCCAACCACUCCAACCAAGUUGUGAUAGAGAAGUUUCAAUUUUCAACUGAAAAUGUAUUAAUUGAAAACCUAAUCUCUUAGACUUGUUCUUGAAAUUUUCAAUUGGUCUCCUCUAAUUUAUUGCUUUAUAUAAAUAUAAAUUCUUCUUUCAAAAGUUGGCUCCAUUUCCACAAAUAUAAAAACAAAUUGCUAAGUAUACUUAAAUUAAUUCAUUUAUUGAGUAUUGCAAAUCUUAUGUCAUGUUACUCGGGAUCUAUUUGACUUUGCUGUAGAGUGUAGUAUUCCCAGGUUAUUUCGAUAUAAUUAUUAUAUUACAGAAAAGACGAUAAAUUUUUUUAUAUAUGAAAUAUUGUACUGGUGAACAAAAUAACUGGGAUCAAACAAAAUCUUAGUAUAUAAUUGGCCUGGUUUAUGAGGAGGUAGCUUCUGCACUUCAAGAAGUAGUAGCUGAGCUGUUUGCCAAACAAAAAAUUAAGAAACUUUAUUAAAAGAUUUUUCAUUUCUCUCCUAAUUUAUGUAGCACAAGAUAAAUUUGUGAGGUUAAAAAGAAAAGGGAAAAAAAAUAUAUUAGUGGCUACCUAAGUAGAUUGGUGGAGCUUGGCCUAAAUUUGUUUGGUCUAAUUUGAGCCUACAAUUUGGUUUGUAUCUCUUAUACCAUUUUAUUCUAAUAAUAAAGGUCCACUAGGGCUCUACCAAACAACCUUAUAUAUAUAAUAAUAUCCUUAUAAAAAAAGGUAAAAAUAAAAACAAAUAAAUAUUAAAUAAUAAUAAUAAUAAUAAUAAUAAUAAUAAUAAUAAUAAUAAAUAAAAAAUUGUGCCCAAGGAUAUUAAUAUGCUUACUCAAUGGUUUAAUUGUUAGCAUACAAUAAUUGUGAUAUGCCUAACUCAAUUAUGUUAGCUUAGACUUAUUGUAAUAAAAUUUGUUCUAAGACAUGUUUAAAGUGUAAUUAAUCACGAGAUUUGCGCUCGACGUCGAAGUAAAAUUUUCGACGAAAAUUGAUACAUCUCUUCUUAUAGUUCUUCGAAAAGGAUCUAACUGCGAAUUUGGUUAGUUUUUUUGAAUUUGGUAAUUUUGCGAAAUCUAUUAGUAGGAUUUUGGCCAAAAAUCCACCCAAAAUUUGGGUACUAUAGCUUGAAAGGGUAAGGGAAAAUUCUAUAACCACUUAGUUAUUCAAAACACUAAAGUUAGAAGAUAAUAGAAAUUAGCACAAAGAUACUUCUAAAUCUCAAUUAAUAUAUAGAGUAGGGCUACUAUACUCUUAUGAGUAUAGAGCUCUUUGUACUCAUAAGUUGUUUUCGAUGUUAGGGUUUUCAAAUCGAUGAUCCACACCGCUAAACAGGAUCUAGAGUAUUUGAAACUUCUAGAAAAUAAAUUUCGUAAUUUUUUGAAAUCAUUAUAAAGUCCAUCAAGCAGGUAUAAAAUGAACGGUUAAAAUCAAACUACAUCCUAAAAAUGGAUGAUCGGAUCUUUCAAUUUAAGAUCGGAGUUAUUGAUCUUUAUUUAGGUAGUGAAUAGAAUUUUUGAUCAAAAAUUCAACUUAUUCCGAUUCUUUUUUACCGUUAAACUAGCAAAUAUCUCAUACCGGCCGUUAAAAAUUAUAAUUAUUUUAGCUUUUGAUCAUAAGAUAAAUGAUAUCAAAAAAUUAUAAAAUUUGAUUUCUAAAUAUUUUAAACGCUCUAGAUAAUGUUUAAUGGUAUGGAUCGUCGAUUUGAAAACUCUAUCAUCGAAAAAAACUUAUGAGUAUGAAGGCGAUUGUACUCAUAAGAGUAUAGUAGCCGGACUCUAAUAUAUAUAUAUAUAUGAGUAGGGCUAUUGUGCUAUUAGGAGCACAGCAGCCCUUAUGCUCCUAAGCUUUGUUACUUAUUCCAAGUAUACAUGCAUGAUUCAUUUGGGAGUGGUUUUUCACUACUCUUUUGACAUUGUAAAAUAUUGUAGAAUUUGAUCACUCACCUUGCUUGGUAAACUACUUGUAUUUGCCAAGUGUGAUUAACCUAAACCUCUAAUUAUCUUAAUACUAAUGUAAUGAAUCUGAGAACUCGUCGACAAUCACGCGUGCUUUGCCUAAUUCUUUCGUUUAGAGUCGGAUAACAAACCACGUUUCGAAGAUUAUAUAGUUCAAUCAAUUUCCAUGAAAUCAUAAAUCUCCAUCAUUUACCUUCAUAGUUAUUGAGUGGAAAUCCAAUUAGAUCUUAUCUCCAAAGUGAUAGCAACUCAAAUAUAGGCCAAAAUCAAUUGAAAUAACAUAUCUUAAGUGAAAGUGGCUGCUCAUUAUUCGUCGACAUCGAACAAUCUCGUAGAAAUUGACAAGUUGAUCACACUUACCUAGUUGCUUGGUAAACUUAUCUUUGCAAAGUGGCAUUGACCUUAAUUGCAUCUAAUUAUCUUAAUAAUUUAAGGACUCUUCGAUAAACACGCGUUAGUUUCACAUAGGGCAUAUGUAUAUGUGCUUGGAUCGACGAAAUUUAAUUGUCGGUGAAACUCAAGUGCAGUGAAGUUUAAGUUUCUUUAAACUUAAUUAGCAUUCCUUUUAUUUGUUUGUUUUAGUGAAAUUCGAUUGUUUGAAGUGAGGUUUCACUAUUUCUAUUAUUUGUUUUGUUGAAACUUAAGUAUGUCCUAAGUCAUAUUUUAGCAUUUUUGCUAUGUUUUUCAAUAUAAUUAAGUCCACCUAGUCUUAAAUUAAAUUUCCAAAAUAUAUGUUUUCGCACUUACGCCAAAACAAACAGUAGAAGGAAUCACUUAUACCAUAACUCUAUUAAUUUCUCACCCUUGAGUCACUCCAAUCCAAACAUAUACACCAUUAAUUAGAGUUGGAUACUUGGAUGGUUACAGAAAAUCAAAAAUAAUUGACAAUAGAGCUCAAGAUUUAUUUUAUGAAAAUUUAAUGGAUAAAAUCUCUAUCUUGUCAAAUAUAUUCUUAGAUCAGUUUUCUACUAUAUCAAUCUUAAUUUUAGAUAAUAUAGUAUCAUAACUAAUUCUAAAACCCCUUCAUUUCAUGAGGUUGUGAUCGAGCGAGUUUGAUCCUUAUCUUCGUAUAUAAAUAUUCACGAGACCAUUUCCUACCAUUUCCUCGUGCAUUUUGAGUGGAAACCCAAAUGUUCCUAACUCCAAAAGUAAUAGCACUACAACAAAAUAUGUUUUAGACAAUGCGUCUUCAAUAUUUAAUAUGUACUGACAUCAUGAUUAAGCGUCGCCAAUAAACAUAUUUUUAUCAAAUACUGAUAAAAAUUCUUCGAGGCUAUAUUAAAACGUCGGUAUAUUUAUUUUCGACAUGUUUACUUAACGACUCCUUACUUAGACAUUUUUAUGAGUGUCGGAGUUAUUCUUGUCGACGUUUUAAAUCGUCGCUAGUUAUUGUUUAAAAUGUCCUUAAAUACAAGAUUUGUUUAGUGUAGCAAUUAACUAACUCAAAAAUCAAAAAUAGGUCAAAAUCAAUUGAAAUAACAUAUCCCAAUUCCAAAAAAUGGACCAACAAAUACCAAAGUGUUUCAACAAGUGAUGGAGGGAGGUGUUGAGAUGAGGCACUAACUCAAAAGUGGGAUCCAAAAGUUGCCUUGGCAUUGGAGAGGAGUAGUCGGCAAUGGGUCCCUCCUAGCGCCGACUUUAGCACUAAGGUGGUCGGUGUUGGUGCACAUGCACAAACCAAUUUGUGUCCAGUACAAUGUGGACACAAGUGCCUAAUCAAAAACACAACAUAGUUGACCUAAUAUGAGCACUUGGUGGAGAAUUUUGAUGGUGGAAAUUUUAGGGCUAGUCAAAAGGUGGUAUAAUACUUCGGUUUACUUUCUUAAAUAAUGUGAAAAUAGGCCUAUGAAUUAAAAAAGAAAAAAAAAUUAAAUGAGACUUUGAUACCUUAUUAAAUAACAUGAAAAUUUGUUUAUCUCAGUAAGUUUUAUGUGAAAUCCUCACCUCAUUUAUUCGGGUUGUGGAUUAAAAUAAGUCUUCAAAUUGAAAAACAUAUAUAUCUCCUUUUUGUUACUCAAAGAUAUAUAUAUUUUUAUCUGCAACACCUUGCUUCAAACUCGCUCAACUUUCUUAACAUCUUAGGUAUAGCCACCGCCCAAAAUAUCAUAAACGGAUUAAGAGUUUUAGCCCUAUUAUAUCUUAUAUAAAAGAUUAUUUAUCUUUUAAAAAAAGUAUUAGAUGGACCUAGUCGGACUUGAUCUGCUCUGAUAUCAUGUAAAAUAAUUGAGAUUUUCAUGACGAGCUAUUUUAUAUAAUGUUGGGUGUGAAUUUUUUUCUAAAUUUUCUUGCCAUUUGGUGUAGAGCUUACUAUUCAAAUCAUUAUAUUUUUCUAUCAAUUUACUCCUUAAUAGUAGUAGUUGAACAAUGAAUAAUAUCAUUUUAGGUCACAUUAGUAGUAGUUGAACACUUUUUGGCCUUAAAUGUUCUCAUACUAAUCAAUUAAGAGAAAAAUCAAAUGCUUGACUAUGUAUUGCUAUAAAGGAUUAGGCACUAAGCGAAUCGCGUGCGAAUAAAAUAUAAUUUAUUUAGUGGAAAAUUGGUGAGAUCAUCUUAAAUUAGUGAUCAUAAAUGUAGAACAAUAGCAUUGACAUUUCCUUUAAAUAUAUAUAUAUAUAGAUAUAUGCACAAUGGAAUUGUAAGGCUAACUUAUAUAUGCUAUCACCUAAUUAUAAGGAAUCAAAGUGAGUUUGCUUCAUGUAUAGUUGUUAUUACUAGUUGAAGUAAUGUAGGAGAUUGAAAUACACAUUAUCACCUAAUAUUCCAUUUAUGGUGCCAAAGGAAUCUCUACUAAUUAAGAACAUUAGAGCUACCAAAUAGAUGAUUUAAUCAAAACACUUUCUAUUGAAAACUAACAUAAGUUAAAGGAGAAUUUUGUUUUUAUAUAGGCUCCGUUUGAAAUUGCAGAAAGAUCGCGUUACGUGAUCGAGGUGAAAAAAUACCAUGAGCAAAUAAUCUAUUUAUUUUCGCACGUGAUAUCCUGUUUUGCAUAUUGCGAGUCGAUUACAACAUAAUUUUUAUAAUUCCACUGAAAAACGUAAAAGCAUAUAUCGUCAUACACUUUUGCCCCAACUCUAUUUUAUCUACCAAACGGGCCCUUAGUAUACCAAAUUCCGGGGACUAUGUCUGCCGGCAUAUUUGAUAAGAACAUUCGAGCACAAUUUAAAUAUAAAUUUUGGUUGUUUAUUCUCACUCACAAAAUACUCUAAUAACAAUCAAAAAGACAGAAAUGGAUUCUCUAAUAUGCUGGGGUGCUUUUAAUAGCACCAAAUACUAGCUUGUUAGAUUAUACUCCUUUGAAUAUUUUUACUCGUUAGAUUAUACUAUUCAACCAACCAUCAACUCAACUCUAGAAGAUCAUUAUCGUCCUAAUCACACAUUUUUUUGGUUCACGGACUGAAAAAUCUAAUAAUACUAAUGACUUGGCGUUAUUAGAAGCAGUUCAAUCUAAUUUUCUCUAAUAUAGUAAAGAUAUUUGAUUGGAUAUUAUUAUUCUUAUACAAAAUAUUAAAAAAGAUUGAGCUUGGUGGCCGCUCAGAAGAUACUCUUUUCAUUUCUUUUCUUUUGCUUUUUUUUUUAAAACAAAAUAAAAAUUUAUUCUAGACCAACUUCUUUGACCAUGUCCCUCAAUAAUAAUAAUAAUAAUGAUAAUAAUAAAAAAAUUAGAUUCCUUCCUUUUUGUCCUCUAUAAAUACAUCCUCCCUCUCCAAAAAAACAAAAAAAAAAAAGAGAAAACACACGCAAAUUACGCAAACAUGACACUCCCUCUCCUCCACACCCUCGCGUCCCUCCUCGUCACGUGCUCCCGCCGCGUGUCACGUGCGGCGCGCCGGCUCCGCCCGGGCCCACCGCACUUGCUCCCCCGAUUCCUCGGCCCGCGCCGCAGAAAGAUCGCCGCGGAUAAUCAUAAUCGCCGCCAAAAACUCGCCGAGGAGGAGGAGCAGCAGCAGUGCUACGGCGAGGAGGAGGCGGAGGGGGAGGGGGAGGGGGAGGGGGUGUGGCGCAGGGCGAUACUGAUGGGGGAGAAAUGCCAGCCGUUGGAUUUCUCGGGCGUGAUCUACUACGACUCCGACGGGCGCAGGCUCGACGCCGCGCCCGCCCCGCGCUCCCCGGUUCGGGUGACUCCUCUUCCUCUCGCGGGUUCACAACGGGUCGCGUCUCUUGUAAACGGGUAACGGGUCUUACCCGUGCGAGCUUUGUAGUUGUUGUAGUAGUGUUCAUAAUUUUGUUGGUGAAAAGGGGUAUGCCGAACUUAUCUUCUUUACUAUACGAACUAUUAUUCUAAUUCGACAAUUUUUUUUUUUUGAAAAAAAAAAUUUAAAUACUGCUCAUGUGGUUUUACGCUUUUUCACUUUAGUACUCUAUGAUUUAAAAUGUAUUACUUCCGUAUCCUAUGAUUUUAUUUUUCUUUUUCCGUUAUCUUCUUUAUUAAUAUUUUUAUUAAACCAGUGUCAAAAUUAAAACCACGUGAUACUAAAGUGAAUAUUUGAUAAAUCACUGGAUACUAAAAUAAAUAUUCGAUAAACCAUAGGUGAGGUAUAUUAAAUUUUUUGUAUAUAAUUUAACGGAGAAUUAAGGAAGACGCUGACGAAAAGAAAAAAAUUGAAACCAAUAAAGUACUAAGCUGAUAUACUUUAAAUUAUAUGGUACUAAAAUAAAAAAGCACGAAACUUAGGGAAUGGCAUUUGAAAGUUAUCCUUUUUUUUUAAAUUUUAAUUUUGUUAUCUAAAUUUUUAAUUUAUUUAGUUUAAAUGAGUCAACAGCACUUUAAUUUUAAAAUUUGAAAGAAAGUGCCGGCGACGGACUCAUAUCUAACAAAUUGCAAAAUUACAUAGUAAACAUAGACAUUUUGCAUGGAUGGAUGGUUGACUCAGAAAUAAUUCAUAAUUCGACCAAGUUUUAUACAUUUUUACCUCUAUAUUUUGUUUCAGUAGAGUUUUUAUUUGUUUAAAAGUACGAUAAUGUUAAUAAAAAUUGUUACGUGACGCGUUACAUCAAAUUUUACUUGAGAAAUCAAGCUAAGCUUGGGGAUUCAUGAAUUUUACACUAUUUGAUUUCAUGUGUGAAACAAUAUCUAUGUUUUCCACUACUUUGCUACUUUUACUAGGUAUUUUUGAAUACAUGAAUAUGAAUAUUUUAUAUAGUACUCUUUUUUUGUAUUACUUAUACAAAGACUAUAACAAUAGUAUAGGAUACGCAGUUUAAAAAGAUAAAUCAAACUUGCUAAGAUAAAUCAACUGGCUACUAAAAUACAAUACGUUAAAAACUAAGUGUCCAACUAUGAUACUUUUAAAAGCAUAAAGUAUUUAAUGCUUGUAAAUUUUUCUUCUUUAAAUUUAUUUUUUGAUUAUUUUUAUCAGUUAGAUUAUACUAUUUAACCAACCAUCCACUUAAUCCUAAAGAAUCACUAUCAUUCUAACAGCACAUAUCUUAAUGUAAGAGCCGAAAAUCUACUAGCAUUAAUAACUUAGUACUUUUAAAAACAUAUGAACUCAAUUCAAAAAACUAAUAUCUAACAAAUUUAUAAAUCAUAAAAUUAUAAUAGUUUAAAAACUAAUAUCUAGAAUGUAACGUGAAACACAAUUAAAUCAUCUAUUGUUAAUCACCCAAACAAAGUUGAUUCACACAUGCAUGAAAUAAGAAAAGAAACACAAUCGUGUUUUCAUAUAAGAGGCUUUUGAAGUUGCAAUAAAUCAUCGGAUAAAAGCUCUGCUCUGUUCUGUUUUUUUUUCCCCCUAUUUUCUGAUCCAAAAUGUUGAGAUCAAGUAGGGGAAUAAGAUGAAAUUAAGAAAGAUAAAAGAUAUAAGAAUCUGUUAGCAUGAAGGCCUCUGUACUGCCAAAUUAUUUUCAAUUAUGCAGCUUCCAACUCGACUAUUGAUUCCAUUAGACUUGAUCUAUACUAUUGUUAAGUAUUUGAAAACUAAAUUUCAUAAUUUUUCGACGUUAUUUACCUAUCAAAUGAUUAGUCUAAAAAUAAACGGCUGAAAAUAAAAAAAAAUCUUAUAAAAAAUAAUAAUAAAAGACUUAAAUUUAAAACAAGAGAAACUGAUUUGCGCUUGAGAGCGAAAAGAUUCAUACUUAAUCAGAGAAAUUGCACAAGAGCUUAGUCUAAUUAUGCAAUUAGUCGAAACGGAACUCUUAAUUAUCUGAAAAAAAAAGGAAAAAAGAAACAUAUUUUCAACUCUCCAAAGGAAUGAUAACACUAUUAUUGACAGCGAAAAGGAUUCAUACUGUAUCAAAUGAAUUGCGCAAAGAAACAAAGAAAACAAAAUGAGAAGAUAAACUUGUAAAAUGCUACGCAUCAGAUCUCUUAUGCAUUGCAGUAAAAUCCCAGAGAGCUUACCUGCUCAAAUUUGACUACACGUCGCUGAAUCGCCAUCUGCGCACAGCCUGCUGCAGAACUUCUGCUCUAGCCCGAUUCCGCAUUGCCUCCUCUUCUACCCAGCACCUGGUUUGCAUUAUUUUGAACAAAGGAAUUCAAUAUAGUAUAGUCACACCUCUCUACCUUGCUCGAAAGGUUUCCGGUAACCAUAUUGAUUUCGCGGACCAUUAGAGACAUGGUAUAUGAUUGCAAAAUCGAAAAAAAAGAGGACCGAGUUAAAUCACCUGAGAAUAUAGAGAGCCUCUUUCUCGGCUUCCAAUAUCGACUUGGCUUCAAUUAUCGCAUCCUGCUUGCUUCGCAUAUCAUCGUGUAACUUCUCCAAAUUUAGUUGCUCGGCCAUAACAUUAGCUCUCUCAGCAGAAAGCUUAUCGCACAACCCGUCAACUUCUUCCCUUAAGGCCGAAAGCAGCUGCUUCUGACAAUCCAAAGCAGCUCUCUCUUUCAGGUAAGAAGCCCUGCUUUCCUCUUGAGCUAAUUUCUCCUUCUCUAACUCAUCUAAAGCGGUCUGAAGAUCCUUCUCGGCCUCAAUUUCACGGUCUAUCUCCUUUUUUAGCUUCUCAUCCCAAUAACUCUGAAUUUCCCCUCUCUGAAUUAACUCUGCCCCGAUUUCCUCCAUUUCAGCUAGCCUUGAUGAAUUUUCUGCUUCGAGUCGUGACAGUUCAGCACGGAUUACUUCGGCCAUUCUGCCGCUGAUUAAUGCUACUGCUGCCUGUGCCUUUGUUACAGGUUUAUGGGGCUGAAGAAGCCUAAUGUUUCCUGUUGAAUAUGAAGAAAAUUACAAAAAAAAAAAAUUAAAAAAAAAGAAAGAAAUGUAAGACAGAUUUUGAUUACUUGUCAAAAAAAAAAAAUAUCAACGAAAAUUGAUCAAUAGUUAAAAUUCAGCACAGCCGCAAAAAAAUAUGGAAAUAUAUAUAUUCUUCUUAUUGGUCAUAGAGUAGGCCAUUUUUUCCAGCUAUAAGAUUAAGAAGAAGUACAUCGUAUACAUAGUACAGAACCAUACGAGAUCACAUGGACCAGUAAUCUGGUAUACAUGGAUUCAAAAUGGAAAGGAAAAAAAAAACAAUAAGAACCGCAUUACGAAUAACUGAUCCACAACUAUAUGCUAGUAAAUGGUCGUAUACUUCCAAUCUACAGUUUGAUCCAAUGCCUUGAGUUGAAAUGGACAGGCUUAUAUUCUAGGUGGUUAUUGUAAGAAAUGUUUACUAGAAAACAUGCUAUCAUCAUAAAUGCGUACUAAGAAUCUAGGUGUCACGGACACAAACACGGGACAUGAAAUAAGACACGAUUCAGACACAGCAACUCGAUAGAUUCUAAAAAAUUAGGAUACGGAUAUGACAUGGACACCACAAAUAAUAUUAUUAAUAUAGAAAUAUAUUUAAAAUAUAUAAAAUAUAUAUUUUACUAAAAUAUUGUUAUAUUUCUCAUACGAAGUUAAUAAAAUUCUCAUUAAUAGUUCAUAUAUUAUAAGGAAAAAAAUUCUCCACCAUAAAUAGUUUAUUUAUAUCCUCCAAAAAGAAUUUGGAUGCAUUCAUCAAAAAGCCAAAUAUUUAUCAUAUUACAUUAUAUUUGCAUUAAAAAAAAGUAAAAUAUGUUCUUUUUUUAAUUGGAUGUGCUAUGGAAGCGAGCAUUGGUGUCGGACAUGCCUGUGAUACAUAGACUAGAAAACAUCCUAGAAUUCAUAGAUGUAAAAUUGAGAAUUUCUUGAACAUUGGGGAGUCCAGAUUGAAAUUUGAAAAGUAAUACAACUUCAGCACAAAGAGUGAACUUAAAAGGGGACAUAUAAUUUAAAUCAACUUGCAAGCAACUUAAAAGAUAUAUUUCAGAAGCGAUGAAAUUUCAAAUAUACGAAUAGCCUUCCUCAAGAGAAUCAGGCCAAAAAUAUGCCUAACUGUUCAUUGAAAGAACCAAUUGGAGGGAUCCAAUAUAAGAAAGAAAUCAUAAAUUCAGAUUCGGUCAUAUAUUCUGAUUUCUUGGAAAAGAUGGGAGUUCGUCAAUAGAAUUUCAGACUUUGAUUUUCGAAUUUUAAGAAAUCAAAUGUAUGACAGAAUUCUUUAUUGGGGUAGUUUUGGCUGCCAGUCCAACGACUGAUUUCACCUGGCUGGAGCUUUGAAGAAACGUUGUUUGAAUAGAACUGUUUGAAAAAGUACUGACAGUUAACCUAGUAAGUUCCCCAACAGCUUCACACUGUAGAAACAGAACGCUAAUUUCAGCUUCCCGCCGCAGCACAACCUCUGGAGCAACUAUUUGCAAGCAGCUGACCAAACAAGCAUCGAACCAAAAAUGAAACAGAGGAUAAUUUGUAGGUCAUACCAAAAACUCUCCUGAGUAUGCUCCUUUCACCACCCAUAAAGUCCACCAGCAAUUGUGUUGGUACAUCAGAACAAGCACUCAAGUCCAAAAUGCCCACCUCUUCCCUUAAUAUCUGGACUGUAAUCAAGUCAGACUUUUGCAGCAGCAAGAAACCAAGCAGCAUCGUACCAAAAACAGGAGGAAAGAAAAAAAGCAAAUUUGAACAGUUGUUGUUUAAGUACAUUAAUACCUUUUCAUCCAUUCCAGGAGUGAACGAAUACUCUAGAAAGGUUUUCCACCUCAUCAGAUCAAGUCGAGAUAAAUAUCUACACGACAACAUAAGCAGCUAAUGAUAAAGACAAGCAAAAUUAAAAAGUGAGAAAUUACAUACAUAAACCAGAAAAUUUUUAGUUGGUAAUUACAUAUGUAUCCCAGUAAAAUCUGCAUUUUCCUACAUCCCCCUUCAAAAUUUUCUUAAAUAUAUAUUCUUUCACCGACAAAAAUACACCUCUUUAAAAAAAUUUCAAACACAAAAACCAACUUGCCACAUGAAUCGGAUUCCUUUUCAAAAAACUGCAGCAUAGAGGGAAAAGUCAGCUUUUGACAGCAUGUAAAUGUAAUAACAUAAUAUUGUAGGGGUAUAUAUACAUAUAUAUAUAUUUUUAGAUAAAAGCUCCAGUAAUGUAGGAUGAAUACACCCAUAACAAUAGAGAAACAGCCAGUGUCUAAAGAUAGAUACCUUUCUGGGAAAAAAUAGAAAUUUCCUAGACCACCAGAGUCACCAAUAUAUGAAGAACCGACAUAUGUGAUCUUGCUGUCAACGAUGCCAGAUUCUCCUAGUGCUUUUGAGCACAAAUUGAUCUUAUCAGAUUAUGAGAUUUCUAACAGAAACAACCGUACAGUUUGUCAAAUACACAUUGCGGACAACUUACACUGAAUAAACCAGAAAUCAGGAUCAUCAACAGGCACAUCAUCAAAAGCAGUUGCAGCCGCACUAGAAACCAAGAUGUUUGGAAUAAUUUUGUGCCUUCUUUUCCUGCCAAGAUCAUAUUAUAAACUAACAACAAUAUUAGUUUUCUAACACAAAAAUUUCAUAUAACCAAAACAAAAUUAUAUUUACAUCUAUGCCCCGCAAAAUUAUCUCCCUCUAUACACAAAUUUGAAUUUCCGUUUGCGCCUUAUAUAAUCCCCAUGUAACAAACAAGAUGCCUCUUUUUUAAUUCAAAAUUAACUCCCCAAGCAACGGAUGACUCGCCAACUUAAGAUAACAGUAUUUAUGAAAGAAUCUGCACUUUUAAAGGGUAUAAACGAAAUUCAAAUUUUAGAGGGCAUAUUUGAGAAUACAUAAUUUUCUAAGAAUCUGUACGUAAAAGACCCAACAAUAAAUUGCUAAAAGCUUGGUUGUAUUGGACAAUUACCUCUCUAACUUCGAGUUUACUUUGACUAACCAUCUUGCAAAUUCCCUCCUGGUACACAAUUCAUCGGCAUUGACAUCAUUUUCAAUGAUCUGAGUACCAUGAAAGUUAAUUCAAAAGUCCAUGCUCAGAACUGCAGUACAACAUUAUUUCUACCAAAUAAGAAAAUUAACUCAAACCUAACUAUGUUUAACAUCACAUGCUAAACAUUGCUUGUUGUUGAUAAUUAAUAAAUUUAAGUGCGAUUUUUCAAUCAUAUAACGUCAAACAGAACAUUAGAUUAGAACGUAAGCUUUUCUAAAGUGGAGCUCUUUAAUCAUUAGGCUUUCUAAAAGCAUUAUAAGCUAGUAAAGUGUGUCAGAGAGGAAGAUAUUUUGGAGAUGUGACAAAGAAAUGAAGACAAAGUAUUACAAACCAUACAAAUAGAAUAUCAAAGAAGGAUAAACAAGACAACCACUUGCGUAGUCUUUAUUAAAGAAAGGAUAAACAAGAUAGCCACUUGCGUAGUCUUUAUUUAGAUAGCCUUCCUUUCCUGCUGACAACUUAAUUUUCCCCCUUUCUUGCCAUUACGGACAGUUCAUUAGUUCACUAGAAAAACCCUAAAACCAUACUAAUCUUACGCUUAUGAAUUGUGAAGAUGAUAUUAAAUGAACCAUUAGAUAACUUACCCUAGACAGGUGCUAAAGAUCUUAGAGAGAAACACUAGAACCACAAAAUUUCUCAGGCCCAAUGAAAAUUAAUAUGCCAUUGACAUAAAAUAAUCAUGUGCAUGCAACUAUACAUUGUUUAAUUGAAACAAAAAUGUCAAAUAAUGUCACUAAAUGAGUGUGUUCUUAUUACAAACCUGUAGUUUCUUCAUAACAGAUAAAGCUUCCAACUGUGCAGAAUCAGGGGAAAAUGGAACAUAGACUCGUUUGCAACCUCCAAAUGCUAACGUGCAAACAUAUAAAACCCCACAAAUAAAAAAAGGUUAGUGGUGCACAAAAAUGCUGAUUAAAAUGGAAAGGCAAAGAGAUAUAUAAAAGAAUUGAGUUACAAUUGCAGCUCAAUUAUUUCAAACUGUCUUUGUUUGGGACCUUGGGCCGGCUUAUACAACAGCUCCUCUACUCUAAAAAGCAUGCUGCAAAGCAUUUAGAAAGUGGCUGAAGCUUUUAUUGUGGCUGGAAUCUACACUAAGCUUCAGGGGCCUGAAAACUUAGCACUACUUAGGGCAUAAACGCUUCUGCCUUUGCAGCAACCAGAAGCAGUUAAAAGAGAUCUUGUGAAACAGCUAUUAGUGUUUCUUCAACAGCCCAUUUGGCAGCCUGAAGAGCUGCAAGAGCUCUAGUACACUCCAUGUAGUGUUCAAACUAAAAUGCAAGCUAAAAACACAAAAGCAUUUGGGAAAUCUACAGUUUCAAAGAAAGAUAAAGAGCAUGCAACUGUUUAGAAAUAGAAAUUGAAAAUUAUCUUUAUAGGAAAAAAAAUUUUAGGUUUUAACUUACUGAACAAAAUAAUUGUACUUGACUUCAUUAAUCACAAAACUUGCUAGCCAACUUACUUAACUCUUAAUCAACUUACAUAAUCGAUAUAAUGAGUAUGAGGUGCACAAAGGCAUAACCACACUUGACCAAUCAUAGUUGAAUAUCAAAAGACAGAUCCUCAAUUAACUGAACGCGAGAAAAGCCUAAUACUCUCAAAAGACAUGGAAUCAGUGAAGAUCACAAUAUACAGUGACAAAUGUAAUAUCCUUUUUUCUUUCUUCAUUUGUUUACACAGUUUUCUUAACAAGUAUGUUAUUUUAAUUCUCAGAUACAAAAAUUUGGAUAACAAAAUCAAUGCAGUGAGACCCCAAAUACUGUGAUACCUUGCCUUGCCCAACACAUAAACUGAUUAGAGUUUUGUAAACAAAAGAAGCUAUAAGUCUAUAACUGUUCAGAAAUAUGUAAAAGUUCGCGCUCAAGUACCAGUGGGAAGAUUAUCAGCAUCAACCUUCACAUCUUGAUUUCCCUUGGAAUCUUGUUUAACUUCCACUUCAGUGUUUCUGAAAUCUUUAUCAGGAUCUCUUGAAGACUCCCCAGGUACAAACUUCUCAUAAAGUGUAUGAAAUGGAGCAGUCAGGCAAAGCUUUAAACCUGGAAAGUUUAUUGCCUGUCAGAUACGCUAUUCCUGUAGCAUGAAAGCAUAACAAAAUAACCCUCCAAGCUGGAUUAGCAAACUCCAUUUACUAAAACAACUACUUUUGCAAGUAAAUCUCAGUAGCAGUGGAACUAGUUCCCUGAAACAUUAUCUGCGAAAUAGAAACAAUAUGCCAACAAAUAAAUGUGACUUUGCCAAACAUUAUAAGAGGACACCAGUUUACAGUGAAGCCAAAGCAGAAAAGUAACCAUCUAUGACAUUUAAGGCAUGGCUAAGUGCUAAAAGUUGCAAAAGAGGCAUAAAAAUGUGCUUCAAUGAUAAAUUAGAGAAAUACAAUUGUUCUUAGUACACAUUCCAAAUAUAGUGACUUAAUGGCCGCUUCAAUAGUUUGAAUGAUCAAGAAAAGAUCAGGUCCUUAGCUACUUCGCAUGCGAUCAAAAUACUAGUAAUGAUGCAUGACGCAUUCAACAAUAAAGUAAAUAAGCUAAAUGCUCAACUAAAUAGAAAAGCAAUAAACUUCAUCAACUAAGUAGGAGUUACAGGUAAAUAAGCUAAAUGCUCAAGUAGGAAACAAAAUCAGUUCCUUCUCCAAGUCAAACCACAUUAUAACAACAGCAUCAAAUCCUAUAUGCUAACCAAAUGCUAAUGCAACCUCAAGAAUCAGGAAAAAAAGAGGAUAAAGUAGCGCAACUAGAACCUUUCGUUGACAUUGAGAAAUAUGUUAGGGCAGCUAACAACACCGCCAUUGGAGCCCCAAUCCCAACAAAAAUUGCUUUCCAUGAUCCUACAACUAAAAAUUAAAGAAUAACGAAGAUAAAGAUUAUUCUUUCUCAACUAAUUAACCAAAAAAUCUGAAGAAAAUUCCAAAAAUUCACCCUUUCUCUCUUGUAAUUCCGGAUUAAUAGUGAACCAACCGCCGAACCCAUCAUCGAUCAAGCUUGCAUCCGCAGGAACCGACCACGAUUCGAGCUUCGUACCCGCAAAACAAAUCCGAGGAGAGAAUCGUCUAUUUGAGGCAUUUGAGAACCCGUAAGGAGCCAAUUGAAGGGCGGAGAAGGCGAAAUCGGAGACGAAACCCUUCGUCGGAAGGCAUGGCGAGUGGAGGCGGAGGGAAGAACCCAUUCGUCGUGCGAAUUGGAAGGGAUUACAGCAACAUUUUGGGCGAAUUGGAUCUAUCUUUCUAGGGUUUAGCGGAGGUUUGGGGCCUGGUGAUUAGGGUUUGGGGGAGAGAGAGAGAGAGAGUGUGUGUGUGUGAGGGUGUUUCGUUGUUGUCGAUGCGUGGGGAGAGAGGUCGUGGCACGUGGGAAAGAGGGGAUGUGCUACACGUGUGAAGGCCCCACGGUGUAAUCGUGGUGUGGUGUCACGGACUCACGGUGUGGCACUGACAAGUCUGACAUGUGUGGCCCACCCAGAUGAUUUUUUUUUUUCUAAAUGCAAGAAAUAUCUGAAUAUAUAUUUUAGGAUUAAUUUAGUACAGUUUCCUACAAAUAUAAUAAUAAAUUGCAAAUAUAUUUAUACUGAAUUAUGUUGCAUCCUUUUGUAUAUUAUUACUGUUACUUCAUAAAUAGUAAUGAUCUUUAAGAUCAGAGGUUCAGUCCUUCUUAUUUUAAACUAAGAUUUUAAGCGUCGUCGACACAGACCGCGUCGAUGGCACAGCUCAAAACCCUUUAUUCUUUAAAAUAAUAAAUAAUUUUCUCAAUAAAAUUUAAAAGAUGUAAUAAAAAAUGGUAAUAAAUAGUUAGAAUAUUUUGUUGCUAAAGAAAAUAAAUAUUUCAUGCUAUUAUGUGACGGCACAAAAAAAUUUUUUUGACCGACACGCAUCGAUACGACUCGACACGCACCGUACCGACAAGUUUCUAGCACGACCCCAUACCAUGGCACUUAAAUUCUUGUUUUAAACUUCUCGGUCAGGGCCUGUGGACAAGAUCCGAAAGAAGGAAAGAAGAUAAAUAAAUAGAUAAAUCAUUCCCAGUCAGUUAAUAAUUCAUAUAUGAAUCAUGUAUAAGAUCAAGCAAUUUAAAUCCCAAAAAUUUCAGAUAAUAAUUACAUGUAGACAAGGUUGAUACUGUUAAAAUGCAUGAAAGGGACCAUAAUACUUUUGCUUCAAGAACUGCAGUUUCAGAAAGCAAAAAAAAUACUUAGCUUCUUGCACUGAGAGCUCUACAAUGAACAGUUGAUUACUUCUCUACUAAUCACAAAAAAUUCGGAUUCUUCGCCUUCAGACAGUAAUCUCUUCUCUCUCAACCAUCCUCUUUCUUUCCGCCUCCUUCCGACUUCUCUCACCGACGGCGUCAGAAAUCGCCUUUGGUAACAAAAAUCCGGGGCGUUCGAGGAACGGAGCUCUGUCGAGAACUAGCGGCUCUCUCUGCGUAACUUCGAUGCCGUCGAAGGUCCAUAGCUUCAAACGGGCGUCGCCCUUUAGGCCCAACGAAUACCAUCCGAGACCGGAAACUGCAAUAUCCGCACAGUUCGCUUCCCAGCUGUUCCCGGAAAGCUUUAUCUCUCUGUCUUUCCAUUCGCCGAGUUCGGCAACCCGCUCCUGGCCAAUAGGUGGCUGGAAAACAUACAACAAAGAUAUGAAUAGUACUUGAUCAUUAACAAAUGAACAUAAAAUGAUGAUAAACUCUGGCCAAAGAGGCAAUUUUGCAGGUAUAUAAGGGUAUAUAAAUGUUGGAAGCUCAGUUCAGGAGCAUCUUUUAUGUCAAUACAUCUCUAUUAGGAUAUAAUUUGCAUGGUAAAAGAGAGAACUUCGGAUCAAAUAAUCUUAAUUCAAAUAGCAGUGAGGGAAUAGAGAUCUCAUCUCACCUGUAAUCUGACGCCAAAAUGCUUAUUCCUUAAGUCGUCGGCAUUCUCCGUCUUCCCCAUAUGAAGAGAAGCAUAAGGAGACGCCCAAACCGUCACGUAAAUCGUUUCCACAGAGGCCUCGAUUAGGUCCAAUCUCAUUAAACCACCCACGUGGACCGUUUGCCCCACCUGCGACAGUGAAAAAGAUGUCUCUCUUGAGUUCAACUCUCAAGUAAAAUAGCACAUAAAUUUUUCUCUGUGCAUAUUUGUGUAAUAACUGGAUUCGUAUUACCAAAUGUUCGAAAUUGAAAUUUAUGCAUUUGUAAGCAUAGGGCUAAUUGCAAGUUUGCGGAGAAAUCUCUCUUUACAACCUUUGCCUACUUUUCCUCCACCCAAAAAAGAAAAAAAAGAAAGAAAAAUAAACGAUGGUUAGAAAAUUUAAAAGAAAUUCAAACCAAAAUAAUUUGUUUCAGUAGGUGCCAAUCAUCUCGAUUUCCGUUAAAAGAGGCCAAACAAUAACAACUAGGCCAGGGCAAUGUUAUUAGGAACUAUUUAGGACAAGCCAAUUUACUUAAUCACCCGUAGAAAACAUUAAGACAUACCAAAAGUUCACUUACACAUCAGAACUUCGACUAUUAAAACGAACAUCGGAAGUACGCUGGCACUCAAAAAAUAUCUUACAGUACUCAAUAUGCAGCCGGAAAAAGGAAGAAAUGGAAAUGCUAUAUGUACGAAACUCCGUUUGUACUUGCGGCACAAAUUAUAAUUCAAGGUACAAAAGAUUGCGUACAUUUGCAAAUUUAUGUAAAGCAGAUAUCAUCUAAGGAAAGCCAUCCUAUGGCUGAUGAAACAUGAGAGAAUACAAACAAACAAAAAGAGGAGAAGACUAACUUUUCCCAAAAAAUAUCGACUUUUUAGGUGGAGAGUGCAGGUUGUAUAUGCCCAUACGAGUUUUUGUGUGAAGGAUUUAAUCGUGCAUGGAAGAGAAGAAUAGGGCAACGACAGUGUAACACUAAAUGACUAAUUUUCUAUCUGAAGAGAGAAAUCUCGAUCAUCUUUCCCAAGGUCCAUCAUCACCUAGGGGCUAUUUCUUUUCCCACAAUUAAUUUUCAGGCUAAAAAUAACUUUCAAUUGAACUAAAGUUCCAGUAAAAGUUAUUUUUCUACCUUUGUUUGUUUGAUAAGAAUUUCCUUGCUUUGGUUCCACUUUCUUAGUUUGUUUUACAAAAAAAUUCCACACUAGCACAUAAAAGGGUGAAAAAACAAGUUGCAGGUGAAUUUCAAACCAAACAGCAGAAGUGGGCAUUUAUGGUCGAAUACAACUUCCCCUCCUCCACUUUUGGUGAAACAAACUGCCUGAUUCCAUCUCACAUUACUAUCGUAUAAUUGAAGUUCAAAUACUCGGUGACAUGUAUUGUUAUCAUAAGAAAUCAAUUUAGAGCUCUAGAACUAAGUAAUCUGCAAAAUAUAUCAAAUAUCUGCUAGGGAUGACACGAAAUUCUCAUCUUUAUGUUCACAAACAGCUAUACUAAUAAACUAGAAAACAUUUCAUCAAGUCACCAUUAAAGAAGAACAACCAGAAACAAAUUCAUAUCAUUCCAAUUUAGUAUUUCAUAUAGAGAUAAAAACGACUCACCUUUACUCUAAAAGUCCGAGGCUGUAAUUCCUUCCUGAUCUCCACCAUCUUCUGCUCCUCUCGACUUAAUCUCAUCGUCAUAAUAUACGGAUGCAAAAGACCUGGCGUAUCAUACAUCUUCGCUUUCGCAGGUAAAACCCCUGUAACCCUCAAAAUACCCAAUGUAGUCCCCGGCACUGCAGCCUCAGUCAAUCUCGUAAUCUUAACGCCUUCUCUCUUCGCAAACGCAUUAAUCAGAGUAGAUUUUCCAGCAUUUUGUGCGCCAACUACCCACACAUUUCCGCGAGGACCUGCCAAUUCCUUUAUAUAAGAAAUCAAAUUCCUAACUCCGAGAUCUUUGCGGGCACUCACCAAAUAAACUGCAUUAAGCUUAGGGGCUCCGUUCGCCUUGGCGCGGUUACGAACCCAUCGAUCCAAUCUUGUUGGAGAGAUCUGUGAGGGUAGAAGAUCAACCUUAGUUGCCACAAGAACAAGUUUCGGCAGUUUAGUUGUCUUAGUGUUCUUGUUGCUUCCCUCCAAUGCCUUAAACAAAGAUUUUGCCGCUCUCUUAGGGAAUGAUCCAUCGAAAUCCACACAAUCAACAACUAAAACUACAACAGGAGAACUAUUCGAAGGUUUCAUCAAUCGGGUCGAUAUGGACCGAUCGAAAUCGAAGUCGGGGAUCAAAUUCUCGGCCUUUUGGUUCUUCACCUGCCCAUAAUUCCUCAGCGAGUGGCACCGCGCACACACUACCGCCGAAUUCUCCAUUUCCAUCCUUUUAGCUUCUUCUUCUCUCAUCUUUCUCUUCUUCUCCGAUUUCGACAUCUUCUCCUUCUUCAUCUUGCUCAGUGUCUCCUCAGUAACAUUUCCAUACCCGACUCCCGCGGGGGCGAAACCAUCCAAUUCCCUCUUCAACCUCUCCUCCUCAUCCUCCUCAUCCAGCCAAUCCGAAUCCCAAUCAUCUUCCUCCUCCAAAUCCUCCACCAAACCCUCACCAAGAUCAAAUUUUGACGACGACCCAUCAACACCCUCAUCCAAUUCAUCCAAAAUCUCUUCGGAAUCGGAGAAAAGGGGGUCCUCGGAACCGUACCCGGUGUCUUCGUCCGGAGAUGGCGACGAGGGUUUCUGGUAGUAUCCGGGGAGGUUGGGGUCGGAUUCUUGCAUGAACACGCCGCAUCCGGGGCAAACGAGGCGCGCCUCGUCCUCGUCCCUCCCUUCGCUGAACAAUCGGGAGGUGCGGAGCGAAGCAUGGAGGAUCGGGGCCGGGGUUCGUGUGGAGGAGAGGGAGAAGGAGAGUAAGCGUUUGUGGAGAAGAAGAGAGAAGGGGAGGAGGAGGGAGGAGGAGAAGAAGGGGGAGAGGAGGGAACGAGGGAUUAGGGUUUUACGGCCAUGAGAGAGGAGGAGGGAGGAGGUGGCGAGGCGAGAUGCGGAGGGGAAGAGGACGGUUUCCGCCAUGGGAGGGAGCUCGACGAGCUCCGAGUGUGAUAUCGUGGGGGGGUAAUUUUAGGGAGGGAGCGUUCUUAAAAAAUGCACAUACACCCCUUAAUUCUACUAUUUUUGUAAAAGGUCCUUAAAUUUUUACUUUGGUUAUUAGACUUUUUUAGACUUUAUAAAUUCGCCUAAUUUUUCCAUUAAUUAUUAUACUCAGAAAAUUAAUUUUUUUAUAAUUAAAAAGCUCGGUUAAGUUAUAAGUAGAGGAGAUUGUUAAAAUAUUUGAUGAAGUUAAAAAAAUUAAAUAUCACAAUUAAAAGUUCAGGUCCUAUUUGACAAAACGGGUAAAGUUGGGGUUUAUACACUUUUUUUUUCCUAAAUAUGUUUAGCAACCCCCACAACUAUACGUAAUUCUGAAAUCGCCCCUCACUUUCGCCUUAUUACCCUUUUAUCUUCUACAACUCGAUCUGCGUCAUACCUCUUCUUCUUCUUCUUCUUCUACCCCCGCCUCUCUCCUCCCCAUCCCCCAAAACCCUAACCCUAACCCUAGAAACCCCACUCGAGAUCUCGCCAAUGUCCCACCGCAAGCGCCCCGCCGAUGCCUACCCUGUCCCAGACUCCGGCGCCGGCGACGGCCCCAAGCGCCGCGGCGCCGACGCCUACCCCGUCGCCGACUCCGGCGCCGGCGACGGUCCCAGGCGCCGCGGCUCCGUCGCGUCCUUCCCCUCCUACCUCGACGCCCCGGAGCUCCCCGCGAAGCUGCGGCUCAUCUGCGAGCUCCUCGCCUCCGCCCCCUCCGCCGCCGCCGUGGAGCCGCUCCUCGACGGCGCCGCCGCGUCGAUCCCCUCCCUCUCCCACUCCGACGUCGAGCACGUCCUCCGCCUCUCCUACUCCCACCCCGGCCCCGCCCUCGCCUUCUUCCGCUGGUCCGGCGCCCGCCACCUCUCCCACCUCCACUCCCCCUACUCCUGGAACCUCCUCGUCGACCUCCUCGGCAAGAACCUCCUCUUCCCCCCCAUGUGGCACGCCCUCCACUCCAUGCACUCCCUCAGCCUCCUCUCCCUCGCCACCUUCGCCUCCGUCUUCUCCUCCCUCGCCUCCGCCUCCGCCUCCCCUCCCGACGCCCCGCUCCAGGCCUUCCUCUCCCUCCCCUCCUUCGGCCUCCCCCGCGACUCCGCCGCCCUCAACUCCCUCCUCUCCGCCCUCUGCCGCGCCGGCCGCGCCGCCGACGCCCGCGCCGCGCUCCCCCGCGCCGCCGCCGCCGCCGCCGGCGCCCGCCCCGACGCCGACUCCUUCGCCAUCCUCCUCGAGGGCUGCGAGGCCGACGCCGAUCCCCGCGCCGCCCGCCAGGUGCUCGACGAAAUGCUCGCCACCCUCGGCUGGGACCCCGCCUGCGCCGCCGCCUUCGACUCCUUCCUCGUCACCCUCCUCGGCGCCGGCCCCUCCCCCGCGGCGGGCCUCGCCGACGCCCUGCAGGCGUUCGACGCGAUGCGGCGGAACGGCUGCUUCCCCGGCAUGAAGUUCUUCCGCGCCGCCAUCCGGUCCUGCGUUGCGGCCCACGACCCCCGCGCGGCCGCCGCGCUGUGGGAUGCCCUGUCGUCGCGGCCCGGGUGCGCGCCCGACACCGCCUUGUACAAUUCGAUGAUCUCGCUCCAGUGCUCCCUCGGCCAGGCCGAAUUGGCCGCCGCCCUCCGCUAUCUCGAUGAAAUGGUCUUUUACGGGGCGUUCCCCGACGCCGAAACCUACGAUCUGUUGCUCCACCACCUGCUCAGGGGCCGCAAGUUGAGCGAAGCCGCCGCCAUUUUCAUGGAGAUGGUGCGGAACGAGCACUGCCCGAGCACGGGCAGCUGCCAAUCUGCAGUUAAGAUUUUUUUGGAUGCGGAGGAUUGGGAGACGGCGGAGAAGGUGUGGAGGUGCAUGGUCGAGAAUGGAUUGAAGCCGGUGGAGGAGAGCGGAAACAUGAUCGUGGAGAGGCUAAGAGGCAGGGGUUUGCUCCCGGAGGCUUGGAAAUUUGCCGAGGAGGUGAUCGACAGUGGCGUCAAGUUGUAUUCCUCGACACUUUCGAAGCUGCGGCACAGCCUCACGAAAGUCGGUAAGGGAAGUAUCCAUGAGUACCUCCUUAUAAAAUGGAAAGCUCAUUAGAAUUACGGUUAUGUUAUUUUGUUUACUUGCGUAUUUGCUUUGAUAUUAUAUCUUUGCAUAGAAAAAGAAUGCUAUUUAUGUGCAGGCUAUGUAACAUUAGAGAUAAAAUCUUCUUAGGUAUAACAUGGUAAAUAGUCGAUAAAGAGGAAUCUGUUUUCCGAGAUCGCUCUUUGCAAAGCUUCUUUCACAUAAAACUUGUUGAAAUUUACUUGUCUGAUUCUUCUCUUCCCUUAUCUUCUUAUGAUUAUGAAUCGUGACUCUUUCUGCGGCAUGGAUCGAUUCUUUUACCUCCGUUAUCAGCAUUUAUUCCAUGAACUUUUAUGAAUCGGUGACGGUAGCGUAGGAAUUACCACAAUUGAUUGAUGACCUGGUUUAAUGAAAACAACUUUCUCUAACCUUUUAUCCUGCAUUUGUGGUAUGAAAAUAGUUAGUUGAGUUUAUCCCCUGUUUUCUCCCAGUUGAAUAGCGCCUAGGGGAUAAAUUUUUUCUAGUCGUGGUCAGGAUAGCACGGCGUGCUUCAAAAAUUCGUCUCAAACAUUAUCGAAGUUACGAAUAUGCAGAAGUUGCGUAUGAUAAAUCAAGGGUGGUUACUGCAUAUUAUGAUUAAGUGUCUCUGCCACAUAGAGUUAAAAGGAUUGUUGAUAAUGUUUUAUGCAAUGUCCUUGUAGAGCUCUUUUCUUGUUUGUUAGGAAAUAUUUAGUAAUAGUGAGAAUGACUACCUUAUUGAAGUAAUUAGUGAUUUUAAACCUACUCAAUGAGAAGCAAUAAAGAACAAAGCUCAAUAUGUUCUGAAACUAGGUUUUACCUCGACUAUUCCAAUAUUAUAUAUUUAUUUGAAGAACUUGAAGACCUUUUAACAAAUAUCUGAAACGGGAAGGCGAAGCUGCCGAAACAGUUGAUACUACUGAAAUGUGUCCUUUUGGCAAAGGACCGAAAUUUAAGGCAAUACCAAGUUUUCUGACUGCCAUAAAGGUCUUUACGUAGUCAACGGAUGGAUGAUGAAAUGCCAUAAUAUGCCUCGGAGAACCUUUAAAGCCAUAGGAGUCAUUGUAGGUCUGUUAGGAGUGCAUAUUUUUUAGCUAGUUUUGUAGUUUAAGUAACCGUUUAUAGACUAUUGCAUAUUCGAUAUUGUAACAACCCGACCCGCUAACAAUAAUAAUUCGUUGGAUCCAAACCACCAGCCAAAAUGCUUAAUCAGUUAUUAUUAUUAGGGUGCGAGGCCUCUUAUAUUCGAAUCAGAAUUCUUUUCUCAUCCAAUGUGGGACUAUUAGGGUGUUGCAAUUAUGCCCAGCAUUUUCCUGAUCAAUGUAGUUUAGGGAUUGAUUGUUAUUCAUGUGAAUGGCAAUAGAGCACCUAAAGCUCCUGUAAUUCUCGCUUUUUACGAAGAGUCAGAUCCCUAAUUAGGCUGAUAAACUAAAUUGGAAACAAAGCUGCUUCUGAAAUAAAAUUUAACUGUCAUCUCUUUUCCAGUGCUCAAGUUUGAUUCGCGUAGGAUUAGAUAUUUAGAUGUUUGUCUUCUCUUGCUGAUACUCUCAAAUAUGAUCUAGCACAUGCUUUGACAAUUUGAGACAAAGGUCGAUUAUCUAGUAAGGUAGUUUUGGUCCUCUUAAUAAGCUUUAUGCACUCAAUGUUGCACUGAAACUUCCUAGUACAACUCGAAUAUUUUUAAGAUAUAGGAGAGUCUUUUGUCAAUACUCCUGUGAGGAUUUGAUUGCUUGAAGCCGAUCUUCAAUUAGCCUACAUCAUAUGCAAAUAAGAAUGAGCUUCCUGCAGUGAAUUCAACUCGACUUCUAUUAUUAUUUACUGCUUCAACAAUGCAUUUAUUUUGGGUAGAUCUUCAAUUAGCCCUUUUGCGGUUUACACAUACUUACAUCGUCGCUGUGUGGUUUGAAAAAAUUUCGGUUUGCUAUUCUGUGGUUUUAACUUUGUUCCACCGUAAUGACCUGUUGUUCAAUAGUGCUGCUAACUAGGGUAGUGAAGUGAAAUGAUGCGUUUUAUAAACUAUUAAGUUGCCAUGUGCAAAUUUUAAGUUGGUAAAAUGCUAGUAUUUUGCCACCACAUGGUUUAUAAAUUGUAUUAUUUUACUGUCCUAUGAUUUGUAAAUUACAGCAUUGUGGUACCCUGCUUAGCAUCAAAUCCUUGCAGUUAUAUAAGAGAAAACACAGGGUAUUAAAAUGAAGCCUUUUUAAGCAUAGUGGCAAAGUAAAAAUAUGCUAAAGCUUGGGUUUGAAAAGAUGUAAAGCUUAUAUAGUUCUAUUUGCGUGGCCCCUGUUGGCUUUGGAGAGUUCAGAAGUCUUUAUUGUUGACACUAUUAUUAGGACUUGAGUUAAAAUGCUAUUAGUAGCAAACGGGCUGUUGUCACUAGACCUGGCAAACAGGCGGGUUGGAUAACCCGCGGGCGGGUUAUUGUACCCACGGAUUACUUGGGCAUGGGUAAAAUUUACCCACAAAUUUUUGGAUAGCCAACAUCAUUACCCAUACAUACCCGUGGGUGGGCGGAUGGGUAUGCGGGUCACCCGCAAUUUUUUUUCUUUUUUUCUGUUAUAUUUUUUAAAUGCAAAAUGCAUAUAUAUAAGUUUUAAAAAUAUAGCAUAACUCAUUAUUUAAAAUAUCAUAACAUACAAUAAAAAUAUUUAAAGUCUUAGAGCUUAAAAAUUUCGUAAUAUAAAAAACGUGAUAAAAAAUUAGAGUUAGAAUUUGUAGGAUGAGUAAAUAAAAAUAUAUAUAUUCUAAUUAAGAAAAUAUAUUUUGUAAUUAAAAAAUAUAUGUGCGGGUACCCGUGGGUACCCGCGGGUUAUCCAAAAUGCCCACAGCUUAAUGGGUACCCACCCGUUUUAUCCGUAAUUUUUUAGGUUGAAAAAGGUGGUACCCAUACCCCCAAAUUUGUGAAUAACCCGCGGGCACCUGCUGGUAUGGGUCGAGAUUGCCAGGUCUAGUUGUCACUCAUUUGUUUUCGAUGAUAGAGCCUCUGAAUUAACGAUUGGUACCUUUUAACAUGAUCUAUACCACUUGAAGUAUCUAAAAACAAAAUUUUAAAUCUUUUUGACAUCAUUAGCCUAAGGAUCAAAGGGUUUUAAAUUUUCUAAUUUUAAUGGUCAAUAUGAAACGUUUUCUCGUUUAACGGCGUAAAGAUAUUCAAAUCAAUUGAAUUUUGAUUUAGAAACUUUUUUAAACUAUUUAGAACAAGAUCUAUACUUUUGAUUUUGAUUACAAGACUCCUAUCAUCACUUUUUAAAGGAUAUUCAUUUUCAGUCGUUCAUUUCUGUGUUCACUUGACGGACAAAAGAACAAUGUCGAAAAAAUAUGAAAUUUGACUUCUAGAUGUUUCAGGUGGUAUAGAUCAUGUUCAACGAUAUCGAUUGUCGAUUUGGAGGCUCCAUCAUAAAAAACAAAUGGGUGGCAAAUGAGCUCAUUUACUACUGAUAUUAUUUCAGCUCAACACCUAAUAAAACAUCGGUGACUUACUGUUAAAUAAUAUAAAAUAAACGUUAUUCUCUCUCUCUCUCUCUCUCUCUCUCUCUCUCUCGUCUAGACUUAGAAGCUUUUUGAUAAUUAGAUGGGAGGAAAUUAAACAUAGCCUAGCAUUACGGUGGAACUUGAAUUUAGAACCUCUUAAUCUAAUAUCAUAUUAAAUAAUGUGAAACAACUAUCAUUUUCUAAAAGCUUAGACUAUCAAAAAAAUAAUAUUUUUAAUAUUUUAUAUUCAACACUCACCUAAUUUUGUAGUUCUAUGUAGGGAGAAAAGAAAAAGAGAAGGUAAUUAAUGGACUUUUUAUGGUAAUUUUUGUGGGAUUCAUGUUAGGCUGAGUUAGCUUUUUCUCCCUUUUUUCUGUGGAUUAAUCAUCUUGUCUCACUUUUUAUUUCGUAGUUCAGCUUUUCUCUCUGUCAUCUUCUUCUUCAUCUUUAUUUUUUCCCUUUUCUUCUUUCUAUUUUGUUGUAUUGCACACAAAUCCUUAUGAAAUCAAAUUUAGCAUACUCUGUGAUGUUUCCAGUAUAUUUUUUUUCAUCAAAAAACUAUAGAGAGAGAGAGAGAGUACUUGAGCUAGGAUGCCAUUUGUAACAUAGAAGUUUUCAUAUUUAUAUGUCAAAUUCGAUAAGUCUAUGCCGGUUCGAUGUUCGUAAUUCCUCUGAUUCGCAGUAUAAUAGAAUUAGAAUAGUAUCAUACGUGGUAUGGUCACUACACAGAAACUAUUUUUUUAUAGCGGAGAAUUAUAUUAUAUGUUACCAUUACACGGAGUAACUUCCUACCUAUGACUAGAUACCAAAAUAUUUCACACACAUUGUAGUUACAGUUAAGAACAGUUGAGAGAAACAGCAAGACUCGGAUUUAAAAGGAGGGAGUGGAGAGGAGGAUUAUGAUCAAAGCAAGCAGCAGGACAAGAUAUUGGACGGCCCACGAUGCCGACGGUCGGACGCCAUCGGAAGCGACACUGCGGCCGUUGAUCGCAGCGGAGUCGACCGCAAGGGGCAUGGCGCCGUUGACACUGGCGACGGUGCAGGUGGUGUGAUCAUCUGCCGUUGUAUCGGUCGCCAGAAGGACACGGAGGACGGAGGUAGCUGCAGGGAGGUACAGACUGCCGUUCUUCUUCGUCAGCAGCCACGUCAACCCCAUGAGCUGGCAGUCCUGUUUGCCGCUGCUGCUGCCGCUGCCACCGCCGGUGCUGCUGCUGCUGCUGCUGCUGCUGGCGCUGCUGUUGCUGCCACUCUUCAGCUGAAAACCGAACACAACCAUAAAAAAAAAGGGUCUGAGAUGAAAAAUCCAAACAUAGGUGGACUUCUCUGCAAAAAUGGCCAUUCGGCGAGCUUAAAUGCAUUACCUGGUUGAGUGCCCGAAGGCAGCGGGAGCACCCGGCGAGCCCCCCCACCCGCGCGCAGUCCCUCUCAAGCCGCCGUGCCUCCGCAUGCGGCGGCGCCCACCGCCUGCCCUCGGUGGCGCCGCAGGUGAGGCGGCGGAGCCGGAAGCCGCAGUAGCACCCGGCGGCGCCGCCGUCACUGCAGCCCUCCUCGGGGCACGUGCCAUUCUCGGCCUGCUGUGGGAGCUCAACCCCGCGGGUGCGGAGGGCGCGGUCGGCGGCGGCGCCGCAGGCCUCGGCGUCUUCGGGCAGGGCCGGCAUGCCGGGCAUGUCGCGGCUCCUGCAAAACAAUCAAUCACUCUAAGAGGGGCCCGUUUGAUUCACUGUUUGUAAUAGUCGUAAAAGGUGUUUAUUGACGCGGCAAAAUCAUUAUAUAUUCCCAACUAGUAGAAAUACUAGAUUAUCAUGAAUUUCGCAAAGCGUGUAAGAACUGUUUUUAGCUACUGCAUUAUCAAACUAGAUGCAAAAGAUUAAUUAGCUACCAUGUGGGGGGCGGGGGGGAGGUCGUCGCGGGGGUGGAGAGGGCAGGCAGAAGAAGAGGUGCGGGACGAGGAGGCAGACUGCUGAUCGGGGAAGGCCGGGAUGGUGGUGGCGGCGGACGAUGGCAGGGCAGGCAGGAGAGGGAGUUGAGAGACAAAGAGGAAGAAAAAGAAGAAGAGGGAAGGCAGCAGUGUGAAGUGAGUCAUCUCUCUCUGUCUCUCUCUUUCUGUUUGUAAUAACACUUUUCAGUCACUUCUGCUUUGCUUUGCUUUUCUUUUGGUUUCUGGGUGCAGACUGCCCUUAUAUACUGUUGCUUAUGGGGAGGGGAGGAGAAAUCAGAAAAGUGAGAGCCAGAAAAAGCAGGGGAGUAGGAUGGUUGUGGAGACCGAGUUGGCUCUAUCUUAUUAUUAUUAUUAUUUAAAAAAUCGAUCUAAUAAAAAACAGACGUAAAAAAAUAAAUAAUAUUUUUUUCGCACACAUGCAUAACUAACGCAGGAGACAAACAUGUGUAAUUAGAUAGGUGAGGUAGGAGAUGAAAAUGAGAUCGAAUUUACGACUUCACAGAACAAAAGGAGUUUAGAAUUAGCUGUGAUGUUAUAUUACCCCACACCGUAUUAUAUAUACAGAGAGAGUCCGGCUAUUAUACUAUUGAUAGUACCAAGCACUUGGUGCUAUCGAAUUUUCUACCAUUAGAUCUAUUCCUUGAAUCAUUUUCAUCUGUUAGAUCAUAUUAUUCAACCAACCUCCACUCAACCCUAGGGGAUCAACUAUCGACCUAAUCACACAUCCUUUCAUUGAAGGACUGAAAAUCUAAUAGCAUCAAACACUCGAUACUAUCGAUCAGACAGAUAAAAGGCAUAUAAAAUUGAUAGAUAAGAUAGAAAAUGGAGAUGCGGUUGGAGAUCGAUGAGGAUCGAGCUCACGACUUUCAGAAUAGAAGGAUUUAGAAUUAGUAGCAAAAAAAAAAAAUCAAAAUAAUACGAAACGGAUUCAGAAAUAUAUAUUAACACGUCUAAAAGAGUGUCCUGCUUAAAUUAAAAAUAAAAAAUAAAAAAAAUAAAAAAACAAAGAAAUCUCAAGGACUGUAUCCCACACGAGAUUCCUGGGGUGAGGCCUACGGACAGCCUAAUAAAAACAAUGUUACUUUCCUUUCAAUCUAUGAUGCCCAAUUUAUGACCAUUUGUUGCAUGUCUCUGGAUAGAUUUUUUAUUUUUAUUUUUUUUUUUUUUUGGGUGUGUGUGUGUGUGUGUGUGUGUGUGUUACCAUCUCACUCUGUUUAGCUAGUAAACAACCAUGCUAAUUUUAAUAUUUCUAUAUAAAUUUUUGAGUCCCAACCUGCAUGAUGCUUCGUAUAGGCGUUGUUUCCGAAUACGGAGUUUAUUUUGAGGCACUUGAAUUCAACUAUGGCAGUUGCAACUGCACGAGGCUGAUCAACUGCAGCAGUUUGAACUACGUUCCAACUGCAGUAUUGGAAAGAGAUUUUUCUCUUUUUUUCUUUCCCGCAUAGGAAGAAAUCUCGACACUCUAAAUGCAGCUUUAGGCACUUUUGACUACACCUGAGCAAAUAAAAUAUAUCAACUGUAUGCAUUUUUAACUAUACUACAUUUACAAUUAUACUGAAACAAAUAGCUCCACAGUAAUUAGACCAAAAAAAAUAAAGGGACCAUUGAUUCCUAAUCUUUCUUUUCCGUCACUAUUAGAUUCCUAAUCUUUAUAUUUUAUUAUUGUCAUAGGCAUAGAGGACGCGAUUGAAGGUGGUGAAAUUGGACUUAACGCAAUAUGCGAGCAAAUGAGAAAGAGGUAGGGACCAAUGUGAGGAAAUAGGUGAAGAUUAGGGACCAAUGGUGUUAUUAAUUCUAAAAGUUAAGGAUUUGAUUGCAAAAAUUAAAAAAUUGGUGACCUAAAUAAAAAUAGGGUAAAGAUUGGAGACCAAUGAUGCAAUUAACCCAAAAAAAAAAAUGAAAUAUAGAAUCUCCUUUGUUAAGGAGCUAGGGCUUCUCUAUUGGGAGAAGGGAUGUCAAUGGUUCGGAUUCGGAGCAGAUUUUUAAAAAUUCGAAUCCAAAUCCGACUACUGUGCCCGAACUCAAAUCCUACAGAUUUUAGAAAUUCUUAUCCAAAUUCGAACCGAUCGAAAAUUCGAAAUUCGGAACUCGAAUCCGAACCCGAAAAUUCGAAUCCGAAACAAUCAUUUCUCUUUACAUAUUUCAAAACAUACUACAUUAAAUAUAAACUUUCAAAAUAUAAAUUCAAAUAUAACAUCAAAAACAUAUAUUAUAUAAUUUAAAAUCAAUUCGGAUUCAAAUUCGGGUUGGGUACAGAAAAAAAUUCAUAUCUCAAUCUAAAUCCGUCGAAUUUUUGUUUUUGAUACCUGUAUCUACAACUGCAUAUGUUUAGUAAUGAAUAAAUCCUUCUUAUUCAAUUUGGAUUCAGAUAAAAUUUCGAGUAUUUAUACACACCAACAUGAGCUCAUCUCUCUCUCUCUCUCUCUCUCUCUCUCUAUCUUUCAUUCCCCUUAGAUUGUACUACAGCAUCUGGGCCCUAUGCCUUUGGAGAGUUAAUGUGUGUGUGUGUGUGUGUGUGUGUGUGUGUGUGUGAGGAGCAUUAAAUUAUGGUCAUAGAAUAAUUGUGAGGGCAUUAAUAUUGUCUCUUAAUUCAAGUAAUUAAUGCAUAUCCAAACCUAGAUGCUGUAAUCUUACUGCAGGUCAUAUACCAGUUCACUGAUACCAACAAUAAUAAUCAUAAUAAUAAAAUGUAGGGCAUGAACUUAAAGCAUCUUAAAAGGGGUUAGGUUAGAUCCAUGCAAUCUUCGAUGAAUCUAAAUCGACAAUUGAUACCGUCAAACAUGAUAUUAUUUGAUAUUAUUUAUCUAUUAUUUAAAUAAUUAACUGAAAGAAUUAACCGAUCACUGCAAAAGUACUAUUAACAAAAUUAUGAAAUUUAGUUUGUAAGAAGUUUAAUUAUUGUAAGUCAUAUUCGACGGUAUUUCCGUUAAGAUAACUCAUCAUAAAAAUCAAGAGUUUUGUACUUCUAAAAUAUUCUAGUUCAACUCUUAGAAAAGAAGUUUGUAAGAAACUAAAGUAUUCUGUUAUGAUAAACGCAUAAACGGAAACAAAAUAGCGAAUACGAAAUACUCAAAACCACAAGCAGAAAUGAAAGAGCACACAGAUUUACGUGAAAAAUCCUUUAUAGGGAAAAAAUCACGGGUGAGGGAGGAGAGAACUUUACUAUCGAAACGAAAGGGAAUACAAUGUUCCUCAGAUUAUAACCAACCACGAUCUCACGCCUCUAAGGCAAAAACGAAAAGAAAACUCAUAACGGGUUUCGGAUUCGAUCCGUACCGCGGGGGGCGGAGCCCCCCGCACCCACUGCCAAAUGUCAGUGGUGGGCUACGGGCUCGGUCCUGUCUGCCCGAGCCCUCCGCUACCCACCACAAACAUUCAUUUUUCCUCCAUAAUUUUUUUUUUCAAUUUGGUCGCACUGCGAAACAGUCGGCAAGUCGAAAAACCCAAACUUGAGUCGAAUAUCAAUUUCGAGUCAAAUCUAACAUAUUCUAAUUCAUAGACAUGGACAUGGAAUACAGAUCACACAUGACUCAAACAAAAUGACUCGGCAGUUUCAAAAAAAAUUAAAACAGGGAUAUGGCAUAGACUCAGCAAAUGACAUAUAGUAUUUUUAAUAUAAAGAUUUAUUUUUAUUAUAUAUAAAAAAAAUAAUUUUGCUAAAAUUUUAUUAUGUUUUUUUGUGAAUGAAAGUUAAUAAAAUAUAGUUCAUAUACUUUAAGUGGAAAAAUUCUCCACCAUACAUAAUUUAUUUAUAUCUAAAAUCCAAAAAUCAUAUAUAUUCAUUUAUCAAAAACUCAAAGUAUUUAUCAUCUUAUAUUUGCAUUUUAAAAAAGUAAAAAAACAAAUGCUCUAUGGACGUGCGUCAAUGGCACAUCUGCAUUGGACACGAGUCCGACACGGGCAAGCAUUUAUCCAGUAUGGAUACAGGAGACAUAUAAACAUGUUCAUGAUCCAUAAAUAGUAUAUCUUAUUUGUCUCAUUCUUGAGCCCAAGAUCCUUUUUUAAGUUGCACAUUUUUUUUUAAAAAAAAAAUGUUCUUUUGAGAGAAAUCUAAUUUGUUCAUUCAUGUUUAUAAGCCUAGUUGGCAUCCGAAGUCUUUUUUCUCUUUUUUUUUUUUUUUUUUUUUUUUUUUUUUAAGAUAGAUAGCACGCUACCUGCUUCGUUUAUUUCACUUAGAAAUGAACUUAGCUGGAAACGUGAAUCAACUAGGAUUCAAAUUUGGGACCUCAGGUAUCAACAACCAAGCCUUUUGCCACUUGAGUUCGAAUCUUAGUUACUUUACAUUUUCAGCUAUAUUGCGAAAAUUUAGCCGAACCUCAGUCGAGGUUAGCCGCUUAUUUGUAUCCAUACAGAAUUUAUCUUAGCUGCAUAUCAUUUUGAGUUAGUUAUCCAAUCCUUAAAAAUUUUAAUUUUAAUAUCCAAUACUUCAAAUUUUUUUGAUCUAAAUCAGCCGACGAUACUUUGACUCCAAAAUUUAAGUUAAUUACUUAAUUUAAUAAUUUUAUAGUUAUAGAAAUUACAGGAAAUAUAAAACUAACUUCGUAAAGAUGAAUAACGCAUUCAAAUUUUGAAUAGAAAUUAAAAUUUUAAAAGAUUGAAUAGCCGAUUCAAAAUAAUUUAUAGUUUGUAGUUCAUAUUACUUCUGUAGUUUUUAUCAAAUAUUUAUUACUGAGAUAAAUUCUUUUUUUUUUCUUUCAUUUCCAAUAAAAGAGCCCCUCAAAUUAAAAAAAAAAAAAAAAAAAAAAAGCAAGAAUAUUCUCAUGCCUCACUCGUUGCACGUGACUCUACGGUCCAUGCUUUGAUUGGAGUGGGAAUAUCUACAACAUAAAUGUUAGGUAAAAAAAUUUACGAAAAACCCCCUCAACUAUGGGAUGUUCUAAAAUCAGACCUUCACCAUAUAAUUUUUUUGCAUUGACAUCCUUUUAGCUUUUAGUAGUUUCCAUUCAAAUUAUUUUUCUUGUUUAUUGCUACCAAAAGAUUGAUAAACAAUAUACAAGCUAAAAAAAUAAGUAAUAUAAGAAUUACACUGAAACAACUUAAAAUAUAUAGAAUUUAAGACUAACUCUGAUAUCAUAUUAUUCAAAGUAUCGAUUAAACAAAAAAAAAAGCUUAGAAAUAGUUUCAACAGCUAUCGCUUUUAUCCUCUAACAAAGUCCCCCAUUCAGUUAGCUAAAAAGGUGUUCAAAACAGCUAAAUUUAAUAUAAUUAAAAGUUACCGGGACGUCAAUGAAUAUAUUGCGUAUAUAGUGUCUCCAUUUCGAAAUAGAGUAUAAUUGAGGGGUUUUUUCUUGUAAAUUUUCACCUACUUGUGCCCUUUGUAGUCCUCUUCCCUGGCUUGGUCUCUUUUGUUGGUGCCCAUUUCACAGCUCAAUAAAUUGUUGGCAUGCACAGUAAGAGUCCAUGGAUUGUAGUGGGCACAAAUGUUUGAUAAGGACCCAUGCAAUUUUAGCUUGGGUAAAUUUUAUUCAUGGGGAAAAAAAAAUUGUAUUAAAUCAUCAAUUUCUAGCUCCUUGUUGACUUUUCUGGGCGCAUUUUUACGCUAGUAAACUGAAACGCAAGUGAAGGCUUUGUUCAGAAUUGUAGGUAGAAUUGUUAUAUAUGAUGAGCAAAGCGUGAUUAAAAAAAAAAAAAACUUUGUUUGUUUUAAUAUGUAAUAACACGUUACAUAGAUUGAGAUUGUAUUGAUUCAACUUAAGAUAUGAUUUUUGCAAUUUUACUGGAUGUACAUUUCUGUAUGCUUUUCCUUUAAAUCUUUAAAGCAAUAGUAUUAGACAGCAUUCGACACCAAACGGGUUUAAGGAAAUCUCCCGUAUAUGUUGUUAAUAUGGAGAUUAGCCGAGAAGUUUUAUCUUUGCUCAGAGAGACGAGAAUGGGGAUGGUAUAUUUUGAAGAGAUAGCCCGCAGAAAGUAGAAAUAAAAUAGAGGGCAGAUAAAUAUGCAAUUCACGAGUGACAAAGUCCAUGUUGCAUGUGAGAUGUGACAAUUUUGUAGACAUGGGUAUGCUAAAGAAAGAGAUCCAACAUCUAAAAAGAAAACAAAAGAGGCAAUGAAUGCUUUGAAUGGAAGAAGCUAAAUCACAACUUGAAACUCAGCUGGAAGGACAGGUAAGGCAUUUGUUGGCAGAUAGGCCAGCAUCCAAAAUGGCCAAAUCACAAUAAAGACCCAUUGCUGAUGCUAUGUUUGUAGCUCUAAAUAAAUUGAUCAUCCCAUUUCUUACAGCUCAAGGUUUUGGAAUCAUGUUUCUUACAAAUUCACUCUUUCAAUACAUGUAAUAAACAAUGCCUUAGAAGUAGAAGAUUCAAACCAGAGAGUCUAUUAACCACGUACGCUUUAGCCGAACACACUCAGAUUUCUAAUUUGUUAAACAUUUAACUUCCACUUCUGAGUAGAUCAGUUGUUCAAAAGCCAAGUAGAUGGUAACAAUUUCAAGAUAUAACUGAACAGCAACGAAAUUUCAAGUUCUUCGAUAUUUUCUAAAAAUUUCCUCAAUUUGUAGAACUACUCACGAAAACAGUUUGGAUUUUUUUCUCCCUAAAGAAAUACAUGGCAGACGGCGAAGUUAUCACAUAUUACAAUGGAGAGUAAGUUCAACAGAAAAAAGAGCAAAUAAUCCUUUAUAUGAAACAAUAAUCCAUCGGCGAAGUGUUGAAACCCACGAAGGGACUGAUAAUUAAGUUACAACAAGGAGAACAGAGUUUACAACUGCUGUAAUGGUUCGACGACAGUGUAGGUUUGGGAGUAUAAAUAACAAAAAUCAGAGAGACUUGUAUGAAAGAGGAUCAAAGAUCAUCAACAGCUAUGACAAUCUUCUGUUUGAGCAUCCCACUAAAAUUACAACAGAAACAACCGACGAGAGUGAAAUCAAAGCUCUAAGUGUCCAUCGCGGUUAAACAAGUAAUCUGAUGGUAUGAUUUCGUUACAUCACAUAGCUUCAUGCCUAUAAUUCAGCCACCUUAUCUGACAACCCAUCAACCGCCUCAUCUGCGUGCUCAUCGGCUGAAUUUUGCUGUAAUAGGUAAGAAGAAACUCGGUAAAUCUGUCAAAUACUUGUAGAUAAGAUAGGCAGAGAUAAAUUUCUGCCGUAAUAUAAAGCUGAUAUAAGAGGGUAUUUUGCGUAACAAGAAACAACCAUGUAAAUUUUGUUCAUUGUUUUUGUUGUUUAUAUUGUAGAUUCCGGAUUCAAAUAAACCCAAGGAUAUAUGUUUCUGCGCAGUUACCUCUGUAUCACUUUUCCCAUUAACAGCUACACACUUGGAAGCACUUAUGCUCUCACUCUUCAGGAAGCUCCGGGGUGUAUAGUUCGACAAGCUCUCGCCAUUCUCAACAGUGGUAGCAUGCUCGUUACCCUCGCCCUGUAGCACCACCCUCGAAGGGCUUUCGAGGGCAGAUCGAGCAACUGAAGCUGUGUUUCUCUUCUCAUAAUCAUUAUUCUGAUCAGCGGCUUCCUUUUUCGGUGUGCAAACUCUUUCCCUGUAGCAGGGUAAUAUAACAUGAGAAGUGUUUCAUUGAAUAACUUCGACAAUGAGAAAGAAGUUCUGAUUUGCUGGUGAAUCACGGAGCAAAGAACUAACAACAAGUUAUAGAGACGGGCUUUUGCAAGAAUUGUCCAUUUUCUGACUUUUCCACUCUGAUCAACUAUUUUUGUUUUUUGCAUUUUUGGAUCGAAAUCUUCCUGUAAGGACUAAAUAUUCCUACGUCAGAGCUUUUGGCCAGCGGCAUUUUGGCCCAUUAAAGUUUCUAGCCGAAGUGGCAAAAGAAAAGUGCAUUUGUUUGCCAUUCUAAUUCUUGCCACAAAAAUAAAAACUCCAGAUCUUUCAUUUGCUAGAACACCUGUGGCAAUUGCUUCUUGAAGUGGAGAAGUCGUACGAACCAUACAUGAAAGGACUAAGACCAGGUUUUAAAAAUAUAUAUAUAUAUCCGGCCAGUUUAAUACCUUGGCAAAGAGGCAUACUUUCGCUGGAGUGGAGUACUUCUUUCACCUGUGCCAGAGUGCUCUUCAAGAUGCGCAAAUUGCCGCUUAAAACGGUCAACCCCACUGCCAUCAGAUAAUUGCAUUAGAUAUCUGCUGCAACUGGACAUCCUUUCUUUUUUACACACUUUUGCAGGUAAAGCAUUAUCAGAUUAAAAUUUACAAACCUAACUAAUUGACUAGGACCUCACUUUUUCACAAACUAUAUUCUUGCGAAAUCAACUAAUUAUUUGUAUAUUUUCAAGGCAUUAUUAUUCAAUUGGCAGAUAGAGCUACAAUUAGGAGACCAGAAAUAACUUAACUCAAUUUAACUUAAUGUUGAAUCAUAAAAACCCACUAAUUAUUUUCUAGCAGCAGCAUGACCAUGCUGGCUUUGUUCGUACAAAAAUACCCGCCGUUGCAAUUUGGCCCAGAAAGUCCAAUUUAAUGUAAACAAUUCACUAAUUAUCUAAUGUCAUGAAGUUUGAUUUAAUGGAAAUAAUGACUUACGCCUAUAAAGCUUAAUUUGGUGUAAAAAGCCUCACCAACAAGUGAUUUAUUAAUAUAAUUAUAGGCUAAAUUGCAUGUUUGAUCCUCAAACCAUCAGUCGGGUGACAUUUUGGUCCUCAGACUUUAAUUUGUUGCAAUAUUUGGCUCGAACGUUCAGAGUUGCUGCAAUCAGAUCCUAUAACUCAAUUUAGUUGACUAAAUAUUGAUGAAUCACUAAAGUAAAAGUGAGGUUGUAGUGUUGUGAUUGAUGACACGACAAUAAUUAAGAUGUCACAUUACUUUCACAUCAGCGAUGUGUUAAUAUUUAGUGAAUUUAAUUAGUUUGUGGAACUUGAUUACAACAAUUCUGAGAAACGAGCCUAAAAUUGCAAUAAAUUAAAUUUUGAGGACCAGUAUGUCACCCAAUUGAUAGUUUGAGGGUGCAAUUUGCCCUAUAUUUAUAUUAGAAAUUUUUUUUAUCACAAAAUUAUGUUCUGUGGAUCAAAUUGAAAUAGGAAAAAAGCUGGUAGCUUUUUCAGCUCCAAUUAAAGCUGGAAGGUCAAAUUGCAGCUUUAGUUGAGUUUUUAUGACUUUAACCCUUUAAAUUAUCCAUGAUUACUGAUAUCUGAAGAACGAAAGGAGGCAAUAUAUUUGUCCCACCUGGGAUACAUGAAGCUGGUCUGGUCCCCACCACGAAGAUACUCCUGAAGCAUCUGGGGAUGAUACUCUAAAAUCUGUUUGCUUUUAAGAAAAAUUACAUAAUAAAUGUGAAAUUGCAUAUCAAUCAUUAAAGUAAAUCGAACAUAGAAAAAAGGCCAACUUUAUCUUACCUCUCGAUAUAUCGAUUCCCUAACAUCAUCUUUUGUCAAUUUCUUUCUUUCAAACUCAAACUCAAGUUUCGAAAUAGGUUGCGUUGAUGGCUCGCGAUCUAAACUAGCAAGCCCUCCGAAAUAUGGGUCAGCUAAAGCCUGAAAGAGACAUAAAAUAAAGAAAACCAGCAUCAGCGGAGAAAUUUGAAAACCCAAUGUCAUUGUAGGUGCUUAUCUCUCACAUUAUUGAGAGCCUCCUUGGCCUGACUUUUGGAAUAGCUUCUCAAAAGUCAUGAGCUUUGGACGUGGAGGUAAGCCAAAAUAAGCCUCUAGGCCACAAAAGAAAAAGGCCAUACAUCUGCAGUUGGCGGGAUUUUAGUGAAGCUGUUGGCACUUUUUCAAACAAGUCGACUCCAAAGCACUUUUGGCUUCCAUCAAAGCUUUGUCCAGGCCAAAUAGGUCAUUGAUAAAUUAAGCAAUAGCAAUCACACUUGUUUAGUUCUACCUGCUCAGCACUAGGCCGAUAUUUUGGAUCAAAUGCAAGUAGCUGCUCAAGUAACCGGAGAGCCGGUGGAUCAACAUGAGGGAACUUGUGCGAGAAAGGAACAGGAGGUUUCUUCCUCAUGCUGCUCAAAUAUCUUCUAGCCUUUUCAUUUCGAAUCUACAUAUUUCGAAGGUUAAAGAAAGUAAGACAAUGGGUGAUGAGAACUUCACAUGAAUUACAAAUGCAUAAAAAGAUGGCAUUGAAAUUGUAUAAAAAAUGAAGCAGACUUGGAUGCAUCGUCAAAAUUUAGUCUCCAACACAUGCAACUUUCCAUGUGAACUUUCAAAAAACAUUAAAGAAACAAGGUUUACCGCACAAAGUUAAAUACAUUAUCUGAAACAAAGAUCAGAAUUAUGCUUGUUUUUACCAGAAACAUAAAGUUUACCUCUAAAGUUCAUAAAAUUAUCUAGCAGCCUUUUAGGGAGUAGAGAGGGAAAGAAACACGUAAGAGUUGCAAAGAGAACAAAAGGAAGAAUAGAAGGUGACUUAGUUGACGCGUAAAGCUAAGAGAUUAGAUUGAAGAAAAGUGUUAUUUUAUAAGAUCUUGAAGGAUAACUAAGCUUGAUACUUAGAUAGAAAUUAUAAGGUCUUUAUGGUCAUGGAUUGCGAAUAAUUAUACCUCAUUGACCUUUGUAAGACUUUCAUAGCACAGCAAUUUCAUGCCAUUGAUUAGCUUCCAUAAUGAAAUUAUGAAGAUAAAGACAAUAAAAAGGAAAUGAAGGAAAUUGCCUACUUACCCAUAAAACCAACAUGAUCGCCAUAGGAUUUAGUCAAAAAAGAAGCACUUACAAUUGAUUUAAUGAUCAUAUACAUCUUAAUUUCGACUGAAUAUCUUGACCAUAAGAUUACUUAUCCUACAUGGGCCAGACAAAGUAGACUCGAAAGGAAUUUGUUUGGAAUAUGAAAUGAAGUAAGAUGUUAUAGAGACUUUUAUGAUAAGGGCCAAGAAACUACCAAAGAAUAAAAUUCAAGGGAAGUUAACGGUAACUUGAGAUAAAUGGAAGUUAUCAUGUCAUCUAAGCAAUUAGGACCUGCUUGCGUCCCUUACAGGUAUAGUGUUAUUCAAUGUAGUGUUGUUUGAGUAGCACUAAUAGAGAAGAGCCACUAUAUCAAAAUCCUCCCAACAGCUUCUACCUCGGCAGAACAAGAAGCACCAAACUGGAACAUCUGCUUUUGUGACUUAGAAUCUCAUUUCAGCUUCCGCUAGUCAAGAAACUCCAGCUUCAGCUGAAAGUAGAAGCCGAAGUGGGGCUAAACAUGCACUUAGUAGAAAAAAUAAAAAAUAUUUGAACUACUAAAACAGAAUAGAUACAAACUACAUUACAAGUACAAUCAUGGAAAAUGAUAGAUUUUAAUUUAACAUCAGCUUACGCUAAAAAUAAAUGGAUAAACAGAGAAAACAAACCCUUGAUAUGGUUUCAAAUGACGGAGUUCCAAGGAGAUCAGUCAUCAAGUCCAAUUGAUGGACGACGUUCUUCCCGGGAAAUAGCGGUUUGCCAGUUAGCAUCUCGGCAAAUAUGCAUCCUAUGCUCCAUAUGUCAAUUGCAGGGGUAUACUGUAAAAAUAAAACUAUUCAUGGGUCAAAAUGCAAAAACUUUUUGAGUAGAAGUAUACAGCAGACUUAGUCAUAAUAUCCUAUAUAAAUGAAAUGUAGCGACUGUAUGUUUAUAGUCAUCUAAUGGAUGCAAAAUCCAGCAUGAAAAUUAAUCAAGACAAAGAAAACGUUAACAAAAUCCCUCACUUAACAGGGAGAUAUUUUGUGGCCUCUUUUUGCCCAGCAAUAUAAUCCAAAUUUCCAUAAUCCAUAUAUAAGCUCAUAAUCCACAGAAAAAAGGGCCAUAUGAGUUAUCUUACUUUGGAGAAGAAGGAGCCACAUAAUUCAGGGGCUCGGUACCACCUCGUUGCCACAUAAUCCUUCACAAGGAAGUAAAGAAAAACACAAUUAACAAAGAAACAAAUAAUUAAAGCACGUGAAAACCACCUGCAAUGCACAAAGUGAAGCAGAAUUAAUUAGAAAACUAAUAGUAUAAUAUAAAGAGCAACAUACAGUCCAAAAAAUAGCUGACGGAGCAUCAUUAAAUGCCACACGGGCAAGCCCAAAAUCACAGAUCUUCAGUUUGCAAUCCGCAUUGGCUAGUAUAUUCUUGGGCUUCAGAUCUCGAUGAAACACAUUAGCUGCAAGAAAUUAGGAAAUAACCGCAAAGUUUUAAUAGAACAGAGAAUCAAAAUGGAUAUGGGCCUGUUCACCCCAAAUGAAGCUUUUGUAUAUGUGUUGUUUGAGUAGAGCCGCUGAACGAUAAAUUAAGAACAUUUUGCUGGAGUAACCCAGCAAGUUCCCACUGCAACAAAAGCACAAGCUACCAAUUCGAGCUUCUGCUUUGGGGUCUACGAGCUCUCCCUUUAGUUACCUGCUAUAGCAAAAGCUCAAGAAUAUUUGUUUUGCCAAGCACCUGACACACAUUCUUAGAAUAGACAAGCUGCUUAGAAAGAUAGGUCAAACAGGCACUAUAUCAUCCAACAUGAACCAUUGAUUAACCUGUAUGGAUGUACUUUAAGCCCCGAAGAAGUUGGUAUAGAAAAAACUGGUAAUGCUCGUGGGUAAGAUCGUCAUUUGCCUUGAUCACUUGAUGAAGAUCUGAUUCCAUUAGCUCGAAAACCACGUAUAUAUCCUUGAAUUCUCUUCGAGAAGGAGGAAGCAUAAUAUGCUUUAUCUCCACUACAUCAGGGUGACGAAGGAGGCGGAGGAGCUUGAUCUCUCUUAAUAUGCGGGUGGCAUCAGAAACAUGUUCGAAGACAUCAUUGAUCUUCUUAAUCGCAACUCUCUCCCCCGUGUGGGUGUCAACUGCAGCACCCACCACCCCAUAGCUUCCCUUCCCGAUGACCUCUUGGAUUUGGUACCGGCUUGCUUCGCCAUACUCCGUGAAGAACUCCGAGUCAAGCAUGCUCUGAAAAGAUGACAAUGGAGGUGUGGAAUUGUCAAAAUAUAUAAUGUUUCCGCACGCCAGAUGAUUUGAAUUAAUGAAAAUAUAGGCCUAUUUGGCUCCGCUGUAGAGUGUAAUGCUAUUAUUGCUUUUCUCUGUAGCACAAGCUCCAGUUCAGAGCUUUUUCUUUUCAGAGCCCCAAAAUCGCAUUUUGGGUUCCCAUAACAGCACACAACCUAAAUUUCUUGUUUGAGAACACAUUACUGGAGGAGCUGCGGCUGAAAGCAUAAGCAGAUGACACACGAAAUGGGCACCAAUCAAUGAUUAAGUGAAGUGAGAAGAGUAGAUCUGAUUACUCAAGCGACGUAAUUUGAGCAUUCGCUUAUCGAGGCACGGAACUCAAAUGCUAUAACAUUACUAUGCGGUGGCAGAUUUAAAUUAUGAGUAGAACUACUGAAAGCUAUAAAAUUUCCAUAAUCAGCCAAAUUUAAUCAAUACAAAGUAAACCUCUGUUUAGAAACAUGAAGAGAAGCAUCUACAAUGAUUGAAUGGACAACAGAAGAGUAAAUUAAACACUCCUUAAUCAUCUACAAUGAUUGAAUGGACACCAGAAGAGUAAAUUAAACACUUACUAAUCAAGGCUUUCACAAAUUCGAGAAAUAAUACGCAGAUUUUGACCUACAUCGCAAUCUAUCGCAUGUCGACUAUUCCAAACAGUUCCCAAAAAAGAUCAAAUUUUGGAUCUACGCCAUAAAAGGAUUGGAAUUGAAUUGAAUUGAAUUGAAUACAUGGAUCUAACAAAAGGAGAAAGCCCCCACUUUGAAAACCCUCACCUCCUCCUCCUCCGCCUCGGAAUUCCCUAAUUCAGAUGCCCAAUGAAAGAAGCACAAAUAUGAAUUGAUUGAUACCCUUUUGACAAUAACAGGAGAGAAAAGAGAACCGGAUCCCAACUCAUCCAUUUAAAAAAUACGAUUAAUUCAAAAAGAAAAAGGGAAAGGUCGAUCACGUUUUAAAAAAGAAAAUUACAAAUUUAGACGGCGUCAACACGAACCAAAAACCCCCCAAUAAGGCGAAAAAGUUGGAUAAGGACAUGAGAGCUAGGUCAAAGACAAUAAAGGUGGGAUUUUUAGGGUUCGAUCGGAGGGGAUAUACGAUAUACCUUCUUGUGGGGGUCGAUCGGGGCCAUCUUUCGCUUGGGGACGCGGAUGAUCCUGAGGCCGAUGAGAUCCAAGUCCUCGACUACCUCGAUCUCGCCCUCGCCCUCGCUCUCCGCCGGCGCUGCGUCUCCGUCGUCGUCGACGCCGGCGAGGGCAGCGGGGUCGCGAUCGGAGCUCAGUGACGAGGCGUAGGAGGCGGCGGCGCGGGGGUUCUGGGAGCGGCGUUGGAACCAGCGGCGCAACCCGUCCACGAGAGCCCCUCCCCCCAUAUAACGGCGGCUGCCGCGGCGGCGGCGGUGCUGCGGCGGAGUCUCCUCCGGCAGGGCGAUCGCAGCAUUGGCUUAGGCCUCCUCCUCCUCCUCCUCCUCCUCGGCCACCUCCUCUCUCUCUCUGUCUCUCUCGAUCUCUCUCGAUCUCUCGAGAAGAGGGAGAAGGGUUGAGGGAGUGGGAGUUCGCUCGAGCACUCGUGGGCUGGGCACAGUGGCUUUGUAUAUAUAUUAUUAUUUAUUUAUAUAUAUAUAUAUAUAUAUUAUAUCAUAAUUUACCAAAAAAUAUAAUUUAUUUAUUUAAUAUUAUAUUUAAAAAAUGACCCAAUUAUUGUAUAUAUAUAUAUAGUUGAGCUAGAAUACUCUUAAAAGCACCAAUAUAUAUAGAGUUGAGCUAGAAUACUCUUAAAAGCACCAAUAUAUAUAGAGUUGAGCUAGAAUACUCUUAAAAGCACCAAUAUAUAUAGAGUUGAGCUAGAAUACUCUUAAAAGCACCAAUAUAUAUAGAGUUGAGCUAGAAUACUCUUAAAAGCACCAAUAUAUAUAGAGUUGAGCUAGAAUACUCUUAAAAGCACAAAUGAGGUGGUACUUUUAAGUUUUUAACCAUUGGAUGGAGGAAUGUAAGGUUGUGAUGAUAGUGAUAGGUGGUGGUAGGUGGAAUAGUGUUUGAUCCAAGGGCUAUUAGUAAUGAAGUAGUAGAUCCAAGGGCUAGAAACCUAAAAACACCAAUGGGGUGAUAUUUUUAAAAAUAUUCUAGCUAAAUAUAUAUAUAUAUAUAUAUAGUUAGAUAUUUUUAUUAAAAUAAUAUGGCCAAUUUGCAUAAAAAAUCCAUAUGUUUUAAACUUUUGUAAACUGGGCCGCAUUUUUCGAUUUUACAGAUUUGAUCCGAAUAUUUAACAAAUUGACCAAAAUAUUCUUAUACUUUUUUUUCUCUCUCUCGCNCCCCCCGCCUCUACCCCUGACGCUCACGCCCUCGCACUCGCCUGCGGACACCCCGCCAUUUUCUCCUCCGAUUCCGCCGAGGCCGCGUUGCGACCCUCUUUUUUUUCUCCCUUUCCAACCCUCCUCCACCCGCAGUCCCCACCGCCGCCGCCGGCAACAAAGAGGAAGUGCUUCUCGGGGCUCAAAAGCACGCCGACGUGGAAGUGAAAGAAAAAUAGUUACACUCCGGCGAGGGCGAUAGUUGCAAUAGAGGACAAGGGAGAGGCCAGUGACCAAAAAAUAAUAAUAAAGAAAAAAAUAAGAAUAAUAAAAAAUAAAAAUAAAAAAUAUUUUUUUCUACAAAAAAAAGACUAAAAAUCAUAGAAAAAGAAAGAAAAAAAAAUAAAAUUGUACUGUUAAAAUAAAGUUACAUUAUUUUUAAAAAAUUUUACACUAUUUUAGAUGAAAGUUGUACUCUUUGAAAUAGAAAUUAUAUUAUUUGGGAUGAAAGUUACACUUUUUAGGCGAAAGUUGUACUAUUUGGAUAAAAUUUAUACAAUUUCUUAUUAUCUUCUUCUUCUUCCUCCUUCCUUUCUGUUUUCUCGUCCUCCUCCACGCUCUCCGCCGCCGUCGCCGUCCCCUUCUCUGCCGGCGCUCGCGCCGAGGCGGGCAUUGAGGUUGCAGGAUAAAGCAUAGGCGCCAAGGUUAUUGACGAUUACCAUCCACACAUAGGGCUUGUUUGGUUCAAGGAUAGAAUUUGAAUGGAUAAUGGAAUGAGAAUGAAUUGGAAUGGUAAUUGAAAUGACCCACUCCCCCAAGACGUUUGGUUUAUUUGUGGAUUGGGAAAUUAGAAUAAGUUAUUCACAUUUCAUUGUUUGGUUCGUAUAAACUAAAAAAAUUAUAGGAUACUAUAAUACUAAUUUUACUCUCAAAUAUAAAUUUAUAUUAUUUAAAAUUUAUGAAAAAUAUAAUACUAUUCUCUAAUAAGUUUUCCAAAAAAAUUAUCAAAUUUAUUUUUAAAAACCUUUAUUGAUGUGGAUUAGGGAUAGGGUUUUGAGAGAGGAUAUAUUUUUUUUUUUUUGAUGAGAAAGGGGUGAAGAGAAGAAGGGUGAAAUGGUCACAUGGGCUUCGAGAACUUAGUGGGCUUCCGAAAUGAAAUCUCAAUCCGGGCUAGAAGACCGGAAUCAAGUUGAAGGCUAAUGGGCUAUUCUCAUUCGAGUCCGGAAUAGGAAUCCCAAACCGAUUCAUGCGAACCAAACAAAAUUAACCGGAUUUGAUCAAACCGAUUCUCAUUUCAUACCCAAAAUAGAUGAACCAAACAAACCCAUAGUUUCAUGUUAAUAGAACCCCUUUUGUUUGAUAUGUAUGAUGACUUGUCACUAUGGCCAUGCAGGAGAGUUUCUGCUUCUGCAAAGGCAAAGGUUGCAUCUUUGAUCCCGAGAGCGAGAGGAGAUCUAUUCAAUUCCACAUGACAGCACCUUUUCCAUCUCUUAUGACCCCUCAUCUUGAUGUCAUUUGAUAAGAGGAAAUUGCCAAAAGAUUGAGAUAGAUAUGUUUGAAUGAAAUCAGACCUCGUCAUGUUCAUCCUUAUCCCCUAACAAAAAUGAAAUCUGUUUUAUUUUAUUAAUUUUUUCAAUCACCUUCACGAAGGAGGUGGACUUCAACCAAGCCAGCCCCUAUUAUGAAGUGGCUAUGAAUAUUAACGCCCGCCUCGGCGCUGGCACCGGUGCAUAAGGGGGGCGGCGGCGGCACGAGGGGCGCUUGACGGCGGCGAUGGCGGAGAAGGUGACGAGAAAACGAAAGGGAAGGAGGAGGUGGAAGAAGAAAAGAAUAAGAAAUAAUAUAAAUUUCAUCCAAUAGUAUAAUUUUUACUUAAAAAGUAUAACUUUUAUUUCAAAGAGUAUAAUUUCUGUUUUAAAUAGUGAAACUUUUAUAUAAAAUAGUGCAAAAACUUUUUAAAACAGUAUAACUUUAUUUUAACAGUAUAAUUUUAUCUUAUUCUUCCUUGUUUGCGCCUCUGCCUCCACCUACUUCUCCGGCGAGAAAAAAAAAUGCGAGAAAAAGAAAAGAAGAGAGAAAAAAGUAUAAGGGUAUUUUGGUCAGUUUGUUAAAAAUUCGGACUAAAUCUGUAAAAUUGAAAAAGGUUGCCCAGUUUUGCAAAAACUCAAAACUUAUGAAUUUUUUAUGCAAAUUGGCCAAAUAAUAUAUUUGGGAAAAUUACACUUUGGUUCUCCAAACUUUACAAUGUGUGACAAUUUAGCCCUAAAAUGUUAUUUUAUUACGAUUUGUUUGUUUUGCUCCUCUUUACGAAAUUAGAAAUUAUGAGUUAUCACGUUUAUUUUAAAGGCUCAAAAGUUCCCAUGAUUCCACCAAAGCUAAGAGUAUGUAUUUUCAGUAUACGUCUCCUAUAUUUUUGAAAAUACAGAGAUCUCCGUACUUGUAAGUUAUUUUCGAUGACAUGACAUCUAAUUUGACGAUUAGCUUCGUUAGACAUAAUCUACGCUAUUGGAACUAUCUAAAAGCCAAAUUUUAUAAUUUUUUGACAUUAUUUACCAUGUGAUCCAAAGGUCCAAAGAAUGACUAUUUUAACGAACGAUGUGACACGUUUUUAAGUUCAACGGUACAGAACAAUUCAAGUUACAUAAAAUUUUAAUAAAAAUUUUUACUUAAUAUCAAUAGUAAGAUUAAUGCUUCUGAUUUAAAUUUGAGUCUUUUAUCACUAUUUUUAAUGAAAUUUUUAUUUUUAGUUGUUCAUCUUUAGGCUACUUGUUCACUAGCCAAAUAAAAUCAAAAAAUUAUGAAAUUUAGUUUCUAGAUAGUUCCAAUAGCAUAGAUCAUGUCUAAUCAUACUGAUCAUCAAAUCGAAUGUCUUAUCAUCGAAAACAACUUACAAAUACAGAAAUUUUCGUACUUUUUGAAAGCAUAUGAGCCUAUCUUCUAUUUUUAUUUGUUAAACUCUUGAGUUUAGUUUUAACUCUUCCGUAUUAGGGAAAAUUAAAUAUUAUUAAAUUUCAAAGGAGAUAAAAUAAAAAAGGUCCGGCUAUGGUACUUCUAAUAACACCAAGCAUUCAGUGGAACCAACUUUUCCACAAUUAGAUUACUCCUUUGACUAUAUCAUACACUCGAAUCAUACUUUUAACUAACCACCACUAAACCCUAUCCUAACAUCCAAAGAUUAAAAGUUCACAAGUAUCAUUGGUGCUAUUAGAAACAUUCAAGCCAAGUUCAAAUAAACAUACGGUUAAUUACGUAACAAAAUCAAAAUUUUAAAGCUUCGCGUGCGCGGGUGGUAAGGUACUUUAGUAAGUUGCCUUCUAUUGCAAGUUAAUUUUAUCUUAAAUGGCACGUAAAUAAGCUAUAGUCUAACAAAUUAUGCCGUUCAGAAAACCCCAACCUCAAAUUAAUCCCAACUCUUAAGGGCCUAUUUAUUUAACCAGAAAUGAAGUUCAACUUGAAGUAAACUUUCGAAUGAACUAGAGUUAUAUUUUCGUUGUUUAUUUGUAUAGUUGUUAUUUAUUUGGUAGAUGAGAGAUGAAUUAAUAUUUUAUUUAUUUUUUUUUACUUUUGGGGGGGUAACUGAUUCUCAACUAUAGUAUUUUAAAAAUUUAGAAUUUUUAUUUAAAGAUAAAAUUACAGUGAACUAAAUAAUAGAAAUAAAUAUCUAUGAUCAAAAAUUAAUUUGUCAUUUAUUUACUUUCGGUAAAACAAACACACGGCAAAUCGAACUUGAAUACCUCACAAAUAGAGCUAAAGUGAUUUGAUGUUUAUUUCAAAACACAAACAAAAGAAUAUGGCACACUAAAUAAAGGACAAAACUUAUGUACCAAGUUAGUGAGUGAGGGACAACUCAAAGCUUUGGAAGCAUUAAGAUUAGUAAAAAUAGUAUAUUGUAAAGCUUACAUCAUGAUUUGGUUUCACAAUUAUGAUGUGUAACUAAUCUAUUGAAAAUAUCACCCACAAAAUAAGGAGAGUAUGAAUAAAAAUAUGAGAUGAUUGGAUGGUUGAGUGGCAAAUUGGAAACCAAAGGCAUUUAAUAAAACUGUAAUAUUUAUGUUUAUAAUUAUAAUAAUAAUAAUAAUAAUAAUAAUGAGGGUGGGUGGGGGACAGUGGAAAGUUAGAUGUGUGGAUAAAUGGUUCUCAAUAUCAUAUAUUUUUAAUUUUCAUGUUAACAAUAAGGUAGGAUGGGAGAGAGGAGAAAUAAUUAUUUUAAAUUAAGUGUUUAUAGUGUACUAGCAUAGUAAUUUGUUCGAUACAAUAGAUAGAUAAUUUGAAUACAAAUAAAAAACUACAACAAAGAAAGAGGAAAUAGCGAUGAAAGAAGGGACGAUAAAGGGUGAGAUUAAUCAUGCUGAUAACAGCCGAAAGAAGUGGAAGAGAAACAGCUCAAUCCAAUGAAGAGGUGUGACUCAUUUCGGUUCAAACAAAAAAAGAAAAAAAAUUGGUUUGAUUCAAACAAAGAAAAGAAAAAAAAUGAUUUGAUUCAAGCAAAGAAAAGAAAAAAUAUGUAAAGGACUUGAGUCGGUUCGAAAGAGCCCACAUUGAAUAAUGAAUAGUUUGGUUCAAAUACGAUUCGAUUCAAGCCAAAAAAAGAAAAAUAUGUAGAGAACUUAAGUCUGUUUAAUAUGGAGCUCACACAUAACAGUAAAGAAAAUAUUGCUAUGUGACAAAUUUAGAAAGAAUAAUGUACGUAUAGAUAUAGAUAUAGAUAAAUAGGUAUAAGAUAAAUAAAAAUAAAUAUUUUUAAAAUAUUAGUUUAAUACUAAAUUAUAAUUUUGUACUUGAUUAAACUCUUUACUAUUACACAUGUUAUAAUAGUAUUAGUUUGAGACAUAUAUUUUAUGCAACAUAAUUAUCACAAAAAAGAUUUAAGGAUCAAUUACAAUUUGGGUAAGUAUGUGUUAGAGACUCAAUUGAAAACCUAAGUAGUAGGUUAGGGACACUUAUGCACAGUAAUGUAUUUAUUGCAGAUCCUUAUAUGAAUUUUAUUAUGCCUACACACAGUUGCAUAAAGUUAUGAAUCAUAAAAUUCAAAAGGUGAAAAAAAAUGUGCGUGCGUAAUUCGAAAGUCAUAGGAUUCUUGUUAUAACUUUUUUCUACAACCCAAAUUUCAAGGCUAGCGAUGAAAAUGGAUUCAGAUUGCAAUUGAUGGAACUCUUCGCUUUGAUCCGUUUUGAAUGGGACGGUAAGUGGGAGGCUAAAAAUAAAUUUAAAAUAGAUCAUUUCAAAUUCAUCCUAAUGUUUCAAGAAAAGAAAGCGAAAAGUGAAAGAAUCCUCCCCUUCUGUGAUCCGUCCUAAUCAACUAAAAAUUGCCAAUAACCAGCUCGAUCUCUACCCCCGAGACAUUGGAUUUUCACUAUUCGACUCUUUCGCGGGUAAGAACAAAGUUGUUACACCAUAUAGCGCCUUCUAAUGCUUUUCAGGACAAGAUCUAAAGCUCUCUACAUAUAAGAGAAUCACUCAUGAAAUAACACUCUUGACUCUUGAUCAAGAUCUUGUUUUCUAAACUGCUUCAUUCUCAGCGUGGCUGGAGAUCGGUCAUUCGAUCAGAUUCUUUUGAAAAAUCAUACGUGGAGGUAUCCUUGCAUGCAGCUCAUGCUAUUUGAGGUGCAUCUCGAAUUAUUGAGAUUGGUAAUCGACCGAAAGCAAUUUGAUUAUAAUUCAAUUCGUGUCGAUCAUAAAUUGAAAUUCAUAUUCUUCUAACCUAACUAAGGCAAUAUCCCACGUAAUGCACACUAGGAAGAUGGGCCCCCAUGACAUGCCCAUGUCUGGCCCGCGAAGCCCGUGGUACGGGCCGAUUAGAGUUCGUGGGCCGGACUUCAAACUUGUGAAAUCAUAUCAUAAUUUUAUUAAAUGGUAUGGAAGCAAAUCUUAUGUAUGUAUAAUGCAAUGAUCUGACCUGCUAACAAUAAUAUCUCGUUAGUCAAAAUACUUAAGUCUAAUUAUUAUUAUUAGGAUCCAUAUUCAGUUCCACAUUCUCGUUAAUCCAAUCACACACAUAGCUCAAGCCCACCUCACACAUCCGAUUGUUGAACUGGCUUUGAUGUCAUAUUGUAAUGACCCGGUGCGCUAGCAAUAAUAAACUCAAAUUCUUAACGUCAGUUAUUAUUACUAGGUUCACGAUCGCUUAUUUUCAUAAUCACAAUUUCGUUUUCAUUUGAUGUGGGACUGUUGGAGUUUCACAUAUAGCUCGGUCAGGCAUGAAGGAGCUAAACCCAAGCUCGGCUUUUCAUUUUUAUUUGAUGUGGAACUAUUGAGGUUUCACAUAAGUAGAAAUGUCAACGGGUCGGAUUCGGGACGGAUUUUCAAAAACCCGAACCCGAACCCGACUCCAAACCCAAGACCCAAACCCGAAUCCGAACCCGACGGAUUUUAAAAAUCUAUAUCCAAAUCCGAAACCGACUAAAAAUCUGAAACUCGAACCCGAAACAAUUAUUUCUUUUUUCAAUAUUUCAAAAUAUAUUAUAUUAAAUCUAAAUUUUUAAAAUACAAAUUCAAAUAUAACAUCAAAUUUAUAUAUAUAUAUAUUAUAUAUAAUGCAAAAUAAAUUCGGAUUCGGGUUCGGGUUCGGGUUCGGGUCGGGUAUAGUCAAAAUCCAUAUCCAAAUCUAUAUCUGUCGGGUUUCUAUUUUUGAUAUUCAUAUCCGAAUCCAUAUCCAUUUAGCAUCGGAUAUAUCCGCUCUAUUCGGGUUCGGGUUCGGGUUCGGGUCGGGUAUAGUCAAAAUCCAUAUCCAAAUCUAUAUCUGUCGGGUUUCUAUUUUUGAUAUUCAUAUCCGAAUCCAUAUCCAUUUAGCAUCGGAUAUAUCCGCUCUAUUCGGGUUCGGGUUCGGGUUCGGAUAAAAUUUCGGGUAUCCAUACCCAUUGACAUCCCUACACAUAAGCUUGGCUUUUUUUUCGAGAGAGAGAGAGAGAGAGAAAGUAAGCAUGCUACCCGCUUCACUUAUAUUUUUUAGAAAUAAAAUUAAAUGAAUAUGUGAAGUAACUAGACUAUGAAAUUGGGAUUUCGGGUAUUAACCAGUAAGCUCUUUGCCAUUUGCGCUAAGGAUGGUCUGUUUAAUGUUACGGAAGGGACCCGACAAGUACGACCCGGAUUUGAAAAAACGAAGCCCAAGUCCGCCCGUUAAGGUCCGGACUCAAACUGUAUUAUUCUAAAAAAGGGUUAUUUGCAUACACGUCCCUACAAACAUAGUGAAUUGCGGAAAUAUCCCUGCAAAACGGAAACUCCAUAAGUUGUCCCUGCAAAAGUCCUAAGUUAUGCAGAUAUGUCCCUACCGUCCAGAUCUGUUAGAAAAUUUUCGUUAACCACGGUUAAAAUACUUAACCAUGGUUAAGUAUAGUGUGAAUUGACGUAUUUACCCUUCUUCCUCUUCCUCCUCUUCCUCUUCCUUCUUCUUCGUCGCCGGCGAGGAGAUGCGGCGGCGACGGUGGCGAACCCUCUUCAUUUUCCUCUUACCUCUUCCUCUUCUCCCUUUUUCUCCUUCCUUCUUUCUUCUUCCUCUUCCCUCUUCUUCGUCACCGGCGAGGGAGAAGAAUCUCGUCGGGGUCGGUCUCGGAGGAAAGGCGGGCGAGUUUCUAGACGAAAAGCUCGAGGGCGUUGUUGUCGACGAGGGCGGCGACGAGGGCGUGUGCGGGGUCGUCGUGGUCACCGAGGACGUCGGCGUCGGUGAGGUCGGUGAGGAGGGAGACGACGUCGCCGGCGAUGUCGGCGAUGUUGUGGCCGAGGAGGCCGACGAGGGAGGGGACGGCGUUGAGGGCGACGAGCUCCGGGUAGAGCUCCGGUGCUCGGCGUUCUUGCCUCUUCUUCGUCGCCGGCGAACCUGACCCCGCGCCGCCGCCGCCGCCGUCGUCUGCUUCGAUGGUCCGAAAAGGAAAAGAAAGAGAAGGGGAAGAAGAAAACUUUUGGAGGGAUAUAUUUGUGAGGGUAAAAUGGUCAUUUCACGACUUCGCUGUUAAAAAACAAACAGCUCACUAACAGAUGUUAACUGCAGGGACAUAUCUGCAUAACUUGAGACUUUUGCAGGGACAACUUAUGGAGUUUCGAUUUUGUAGGGAUAUAUCCGCAAUUGGCUAUGUUUGCAGGGAGCUGUAUGCAUUUGACCCUAUUCUAAAAUGGCUCGGCACGACACGGCCCAAUUACUUGACCAGAUAAUAAAACUUUUCUCCCUUUUUUUUUUUUGUGCCUUUUGGAUUUCUCUUUUUUGCCUCUCUAACUUAUGUACUUUUAUAUAUAUAUAUAUAUAUAUAUACAUAAAUUGCAUGUUUGGUUCUUAAAUUAUGAAGGAGGCAGCGAUUUGGUCUUUAAAUUUUAAUCUGUUAUAAUUUCUGACUUAAUUGAUCUUUCAGAAUUAUUGUAAUCAGAUCUUAGACCCAAUUUAGCUGUAUCGAUAUUUAGUCAACUAAACUGAGUUGUGUGAAUUGAUUGCAAUAAUUCAAAAAGUUCGAGUCAGAAAUUAUAAUAAAUUAAAGUUUGAUGACCAAAAUGUCAUCCGCCUUAUAGUUUGAGACCAAAUUAAAUGUGCAAUUUACCCCAUUUUUUUAACAUUUUAAACGCAUAUUUUAUAGUUUGAGACCAAAUUUUAUUUGUCAUAAAAUUAAAACAUGUGCACGCACGUACGGUCACGCGCAUGCGAAAAAUACAAGAAUUUAAUCUAGCAUGCAUAAAGAAGGCAAUUAAAGCAAGACAAUAAGUCAAUAACUAAGUACAAAUAUUAAUAAAAAAACUAUAAUUGUUCAUUUUUUUGUUUAUUUUAAUUAAAUAAAAUGGUUUCAAUGCAUUGAACACUUUAUUUUAAUGAUAAAAUAUCCGAAUCGAUGAUCUGCAUUAUUUAACACGCUUUAGGAUACGUGACCUUUCCUGGAUCCAAAUUUCAUAAUUUUCGAAAUUCAUAUUCUAGUUCACCAUAUGGUGCACGCGAGGCUUUGGAGCGCGUGGAGUAGAGAUCGGAUAGGUGAAGGAGAAGGAGGAGAGAGGAGGAAGAGGUGGAGGAGAGAUCGAGGAGGAAGAGGUGGAGGAGAGGGGAGAGCUCGAUCGAGGUCGAGCUCCGCGUCGGAGGAGGGGGCGCGAAUGGGGUGGGGGGCGAAUAGGGUUAGGGUGGGAGAUACGCUCGUGUGAGCCCAAUCGGGGGCUGCGUUGGGUUCGAAUUAGAUUUAGGGUUAGGAUUAUAUUGCUCAAAUAAAUAUAUUUAAUAUAAAAUUAACAGCUAUUUAAAAUAAUUGCCGCUAAAACAUAAGUUAUAAAAAGAAUUAACGGCCGUUCGAUAAUCGCCGCUACUAAAUUGCCGCUAAAAGAUGAUUUUGUUGUAGUGCAUGUAGUUACGAAUGAGUGGUCAAAAUUGUACAACUUUCUCAUUAGAAGUUAAGUAUAGGAUUCUUAAUUAACCUUAAGAUCAUGAUUGUAGAACUUAAUUAGUCUAGUUAGCUUAAAAAAUUUCUACGAAAAGUACAAAAAAUUAAACUACCCAUAUUAGUCGCUAAAAUUAAUUGUCAUUUUAGAAUCCAAUUCCUAGGAAGUUUAGAUAUCUUAAAUCAUGUUUAACAGAGCUAAUCAUUAAUUUCAAUAUCGUAUUAUUAUAUAUAUUUUUCAGUAAUUUUGCUUCCGGAAAUAUUCGAGCUCCAAUUGUGUUCACUUAGACUAAAUUUUAAGUAAGUUUAUUAGCAUAGAGGUUAGUGAAAUCUCAUUAUGUUCAAAUUUUAAUAUCAAUCCUUAGAAAAAUAAUUAAAAAGGAAAUUUUUAUAAAGGAAAAAACCCUAUUAAUUGAUAGAACAAGGGCAAAGAGUCCACAAAUAACUAAGAUUCCAAAAUAUUAUAAACCAAUAGUGUUUGCACAUUAAGUAGAAUAUAUUGUAACUAUUAACUCUAAAAUUCCUUAAGUUACAGGUAUAUAUAAAGUAUGUACCAUAUUUGAUAAUUAAUUAUGUUCACUUAUAUUCAAAUUUUUUUUUAAAACAAAUUUAAUUAAGUCCUCACGUGGUCUUAAUUAACUUAAUUACCAAACAGCUGUUAUUCUCAAAACAAGUUAUUAAAAGCCUUUAAUUUGAUAAGCUACUAACUAACACUUGCUUAAUUAUGAGGCAUCUAAUUAAACAGAUUAUUACUGAUCUACUUGAUCCCCCCCAAAAAACACACACAUCAUCAAUAAAAAUACUAUUUAUCCUCCCUAGAACAUGUCGCGCACUCACGUCGAUCGUAAUCAUAUGAUUUUUGCACUAAUCUAAUCAUGUAAACAACAAAAUUAAGCAUGAUUAGGAUCUCGGAGAUAAGUGAAUAAACAAUAGUUGUUUCUUCAAAAGGUGUUAUGUAGAUUUACGACAAGGAGAUUAAGAUAAACAUUAUCCGAUAAUGGCUCAACGAGACGCGUGUGCGAUGUCCAUUGAGUGUAUAGCUACAUAUGUUGGAACAGUUUGUGAUAAAGGUAUGAAAUAGAAAAAUUAAAAGGCUUCAAGGGCGUGUAGCAAUGCCAUUUUCCUUAAGGCUUAAUCCGUCCCCACCGUUCUAACAAUUUGGUGUGCACCGGGUCAACGAACAACCUCCCAGGAUACAAUGAAGCGUAAACCUCAACUGCGUUUGCACACACGAAGUCGAGCCUUUGAGCACUCACUCGAUUAAGUUGUCAAAAGAAAUAGAAUAUAAAACAAGAAUGGAAUUAUUAUGAAUGAAGACUUCAACUCUUCAACUGUUUUCUGUCUGUCUCCUUCUGCAACCAAUGCUAUGGACUUAUAUAGGCCACGAACGGGUGCUUCAUGAAGUGACUAUUCGCGAAAGGGUGUUUCGUGAAGUGACCUUUCGAUUGUGACUUUUCAUUUGAUCAUAACUACCAAAUAGUUAUAUGAAUCAAGUUCAAUGAAUAUAACCAUUGAUUCCAACGGGCAUAUGUACGAAAAGACACACUAUAAAGAUGUGUCUUUUCAUAUCAUAUUCUUUCACUAAAAGUCACAUCCUUUCACUCUAAGAGUCAUACCCUUUGAUUAGAGUUGCAUCCACUCACUAAGGGUUGCAUCCAUUCACUAAGAGUUGCAUCCAUUCACUAAGGAUUGCAUUCUUUCACGAAGAAUCACAUCCAUUCACUAAAAACAAUAAACAAAAUAUAUUAUUUUAAAAUUUUCCUUACAACAUAAACAAUGUAACGUCGAUUAAAUUCAACAAAAAUGUCAUACAUUAAGCUAAAUUUUACUAGUAUUCAAAGAAGUUGGGUAUUUGUUAUAUUAAGAAGCUUGGUUUUUCUUGCUUAGCAUUUUAUAUAUUUGUGACAAAUGAGAUAUUAUUUCGUGUCAUUUGUGCAAAUAUAAUAGAAAAUCAUUUUGGAAUAUAACAAGAUUAGUUUGUACAUAAAUGGUCCUCUCCUUUCAUAAAUUAGUCGCCAUGCGCUACUAAUCGUCUAUAAACAACAUUGCAUGUAGGUAAUGCGAAGGUAAUUAAUUAAUGAUUUGAUAAUCUUCCUAGAAUUAGGAAAUCAUGGGCCUUUGUACUUGAGCUUAUGCAGCAGUGCUAUUUAAAGAAGCUUCAACAAAUUCAUCGUAAAAUUGGUAACAACAACAUAACAAAAUCCUCAAAUUGAAGGUUCGAUAUUAAUUUAGAGCCCUUCAAGCUCAUUUGAGCUUCUUGAUAUAUAUUUUAUUUGCUAAAUACUUGUAAAUUGCUUUUCGAGUAGAGAAGCUGAUCAUUCUAAAGCCCAGGCCAUAUAAGCGAUCAAGCACUUCUAUAGGUAGUGCUUAUAUAUUGAUUAAGGCUUCUUUUGGGAUUGAGGGGAGAUUACGUUACGUGUAAUGAGAAAGUAUGAUGGAAAAAUAUCCUGUUUGUUUCCGUACAUAAUAUUACGUUCCGUAUAUUGCGAUAAGUCGGUUAUAAUUAAUAUAUUUUCUGCGGUCCCAUCAGAGAACGCAGAAGUAUAUCCCUAUAUACUUUUGCCCUAACUCCAUUUUAUCUAAUAGCGUCAGAUAAAUCUCAAUACCAAACUAAGCCUAAUUCCUGCAAAGAAAAGCAAAACAUAUAUAGUAUAAGCUAAAUAACACCUCAAACAUGAAUUCUAUUUGAAAUAUUCCUUAAUUUCCUAAUAUAAAAAUUCUUAAACUACCUAUCUAAAAGUAGGGUUCCACCUAGAAUGGAUGCUACAAAUGAUACGAGGAUUAGUUAUGAGGAAUUAGUUAAUAAGGAGGUCACAUUUUAGCUGUGAUCCUAUAUAUGAGCUAGGAGUACACUAAAGUAAAAUUAAUGCAUUAUAAAAGAGCAGUUCAAAUAAAGACAAAAACAACCUUGAUCAGAUAUAUAACUAUUCAAGUAGUUAAUUUGGAUCAUUGACAUCUGAUUAGUAAUUAAACUUAUCAUUAGUGAUCUUAUUUAUGGCUAAAGUAGCACUUAGUCCAACUCACAAUGGUUCGGGUUACAGCUAAUUAAGAUGUUGUUAGGCAUAUUAAUUACAUUAUUUCAGGCUCUGUACAUAUACUUAAUAUUAAAGUUUUUGGGUUCUAUUACUCAUGCUCAUUCUCCUUAUGGUUUUUAUUUAUCUAGUUAUUACAAGAGUUAAAAAAAAAAAAGAAAAAAAUCUAAGAUAUCUGUUAUGACGAGCACACAAAUAAAAAUGAGAAAUGACAAUUGCGAAAUACAAACCACAAAAACAAUAAAAACGAACAUAAAAAUUUACGUGGAAAAUUUUUUUGCAGAAAAAAAAAAACACGGACGAAAGAUGAGAGAACUUCACAAUAAAAAAGGGAGUACAAAGUAGUGAGAUUACAAUACACCUUAUCACGUGUAGGACAAAAACGAAGAAAAAAAUUUCUUAAUGGAUUUCUUUAUUAUCAAACCCCUUCACAAAUUCUUUCAUUAAAAUUUGUCGUACCACAAUUCUGUCAACAAAUCAGAGGCACAAAAUCAAAGUCAAUAAUCAAAUUUCGAAGCACAUCUAAUAAUAACACAUGAUAGAGUGCGUCUCGAAUGCUUCUGGAAGUACGGAGCGCUCCGUGCUUCCAAAUUAUUUUCGAUGUUCAGACUUUCGAAUCGACGAUCGGCUCCAUUAGACUUGAUCUAGAGCAUUUGAAGUACCUAGAAAAUAAAUUUUGCGAUUUUUCGAUAUCAUUUGCCUAGUGAUCGAAGAGGCUCAAAAUCAACGGCUGAAAAUAAAAAUCUUACAAAAUAUGAUGAUAUGAUAUUAAAAUUUUAGAUCAAAGUUAUUGAUCUUGUUUUAUAUGGUAUAAAAAAUUUUCUAUCAAAAUUUCAUGUGAUUUGGAUAUUUCUACACCGUUAAACUUGCAAACGGCUCACCACAGCCAUUAAAAUUAUUGAUUUUGAGCCCCUUCGAUCACUAGGCAAAUGAUAUCGAAAAAUCACAAAAUUUAUUUUCUAGGUACUUCAAAUACUCUAGAUCAACUCUAACGGAGCCGAUCGUCGAUUUGAAAGUCCGAACAUCGAAAACAACUUGGAAGCACGGAGGGCUCCGUGCUUUCAGAAGCAUGCCAGCCCACUCACACAUGAUAUAUAUUAUGUCCCUUCUAUGAUAUAUCAACAAAUAGGCUGAAUUAUAGAUCCACUACAACAAAAUUAGGUUAUAGGGACACAUGUUUGGAAUACUUUUGUGUAAGUGUCUUAUUUAUGUCAAAACUUUAAAAAAAAUCUACUAAUGUCUAAAUAUAAAGCCCAAUCCAACUAAGAAUAAAAGGUUACUCUACUCAACCCACCUCAACCAGCCCAUUCGGCCUGAUAACAAGCAGAAAAAAAAAGAAGAAAAAUCGAUUACCAUCUCUCCUUCUCCCCUCACUCAAUCCACUGAAAUUCUAGACGAAGAGCCCUUUCCUCUCUUCCUCCUCCUCCGCUACCGCAGCCAAAAAAGUAGAGUACCGGCGGUUGCUAAAUGCUUAAAUAAGUGUUGAUAAAUUAGCAGCACUCUUUUAGAUUAUACCGACACUCUUUAAUUGUCACUAUAUACCUACCGACCCCACAUAUAGCAACACUUUUUAAAAGUGUCGGUAACUUAGCCAGCAACACUUUUUUUUUAUCUGUAUCGAUACUUAAAAGCGUCGCUAUACACCGUUUUUGUUGUAGUGAGAAAACCUCAUUAUAAAUACUUUUUUUUUAAUUUUUCUCCCCAACUUUCAAAAACUUAUAUUUUACCCCCUCAACAUUUUAAGUUAUUGCAUUUAAUCCCCCUUCGUCAUGGUUUCAUCACUAUUCCGUCAAUUUCUUAUAAUUUAUAUCGAAAAUACCAUUCAAAAUGAUAGAAAUAAAUUAAAAAAAAAAAAUUUAAUAAAAGAAAUAAGAAUAAUUUGGUCACUUUACACCCUCCAAUAAUGCCUUACUCCCCUGAAAAUAUUUAUGAAAUUUUAAGAGAGUAAAAUAUAGGUUUUCAAAAGUCAGAAAAAAAAAGUAAAAAUAAAACUGAUUUUUUGUAAUUUAACCUAACAAAUAUGUUAUAUGUCUAAUUGUUUUUAAUGUUGUUCCUACAUAGGAACACACUCUAAAUUAGAAGUGCAAUUAUACAUAUAUCCUUCAAUUGUGCGUGUGCUUGUGCAUGCAUACGCGUGGUUUUCGUGUGUUUGCGCGCGCAUGUAUGCAUGAUUGCACGUAAUUGUGCGCGUGUAUGCACGUGUUCGCGCGUGUGCAUGUACCCAUGUGUAUUGAGUGGUCACACUCCUCUAAUGGGUGAUUUUAAGAAGCACUAAUAAACGUAUUAAUCUCUUCAUGUGAAGGAGGAGGGAGCUCAAAUUAAUGAGAGUAUUUUCUAAUUAUACACAUAUCUAGUAGCCUAGUUCAUAUAUAUUUAUAUAUAGAGUGAGAGAGUUCACUUAGGAUCGAUACUAUUAAUAGUACAUGCUAUUUACCUUUUUAUUCUUAUAUCAUUCUAUAUAUUACGCUAAUCACGCACUCAACUCUAAGCGUCCAAUGAUCAGAAAGUGAAUAGUAUCGUACUAUUAAUAGUAUUCAAACACAUACAUAUCUCUCUCUUUCUUAGUGUUAAUUUAAUUUGCAAGCUUUUACAAGAUUUUAAUCCACAAUGGAUAGGGAUAGCAACAGGGCGGGGCGGGGACAGGAUCGAUCCUUCCUUGUCCCUCUCCCCACGGGCUUUUACGAUUCUUGUCUCUCCACCAUAAAUUCCACGGGCUUUUACGAUCUUUGUCCCCGUCCCCGUCCCCAUCCCCGUCCCCGUCCCUGUCCUCAUGGGAAUCCCCAUAGUACAGUUAUGCCAUGGAUUUUAAAAAAUAUACUAGAUUAUUUUUAUUUAGAAUUAAAUUAAAUUAAAUUUUAAUUUAAAUGAUCAGUUUAACUUUUAUCCCAUUAUCAUGUUUUUUUCAGUCAUCAUCAAAUUAUUAAGUAUGAAAUUUCAAGUUACUAAAAACGUAUAACAUGUCGGAUCGUUGGCGAUAAUCAUUAAUCCCAAAAGCUCAAACUGUUAGAAAUACGCAACUAAUUCAUUCAAAGUGUAUAGAUACAGCGCUCACGGAUCUCAAUUGUGACUUGGCAUAAUCAGUCUCACACUACUUCGAACGUGACUCGGUUCACCCAGCCUCACGUCAUUUCGAAUAUGACUCGGCCCAACAUGACCUUCCGCCACAAAGCAGAAUGCUGGCCCAUUUAAGCCAACAUAACAAUCAAACAUUAUUUAAUUAAUAUAUUGUAUAAAAGAAUUAAAUAUAUUUAAAAUAUUUGAUUAAAUUAGUUAGAAAUAUAUUAAAGACAUCUAAGUUAGCAUCUUAUAUUUACAAAUAAAUUAACAACUAUUUAAUAAUAUGUUAUAUUAUUUUGUGAGAAUCAGCAAUUUUGCGGGGCUGAGAGUAGUAUCCCCACUCCAUUCGGAGCGGAUCGAUCCCCGCUGUGGUGGAAAUUGCCAUCCCUAACAUAUUAUUCGACACUAUCUGCUUACAAAUUAUGAAAAAGUAUUCAUGUUGCUAAUGAGAAAUCCUUCACUUAUGUAUCAAAUUAGCAUAAAAUGAAAGGCAUCAACAGUACCUGUAAUAUUCAAGCUUUCCUACAUAUGAACAUAUGCAAUAAAAUGCCGAAAUUAAUAUGGAAAUUGAAUAUAGUACAUCUAGGAUCAAAUUAUCUGAUCAAGUUUACAUAACAUAGAUCGAUCAAGUCUAACAGUGUCAAUCAUCGAUUCAGAUGCAUUAUCGCUAAAAAUGAUGUGUUAAGUACGCACGACACCCCUAAAUGUAUUCCAACCCUACUCACAUAAAACAUGUAUUCGCUUUUACAACUUUUCUUAUACAAGUAGUAAUGCGACCGAAAUAAGAUGGUUGGGAACUUGUAAGUGAAAUUCCUGAUAUUGGAUUCAAAUUUGUGGUUGCAGCUUUAAAAACCAUGAAAACAUAAAAAUAAAAAAAAAACCAGCAUAAGUACCUGUUAAUAGAUAUAUGCAAAAGGGUUUUGAGUCACUUAAAUUUAUCAUUGACAAAUUUAGCGAUUCAUCGAAUCCAGUCACUACUCAUUAACUUAAAUUUGAUCAGAGUCAAUGAAUAUCAUCUGUCUUAGUAAAAAAUAUAACUCUUAUGUACCUCUUUGGAGACGAUAAAUGUAAGUAGAAAAGGAAUGAGACAUAGUGCUAAUCAUUAUUAACUGAUGCAUGUGUUUCUAAUCCCUAGUUGGGAAUCUACAAAUAUUGGUUAUUGUUUGGAUAUAACAGAUUAAUUUUGUAUUUUCUAAAACACAUAUCACGAAAAUCAUGCUACUUUACUAAUUGAGAGAAACAUCGAACUCGCUCAUGUUCACAUGACACACAUGACCAGAUCUAACAUACCUGCUCUUCGAAUAGCGAGCUUAGCUUAGUUAUAGAUCAACAAAUUACAUGCAAUGUUUUUUUUUCCUCUCGAUCACAAACAUACGAGUGUAAGUACGAUAACUCCGAAAAGAACACUACUAUGCCCGCAAAAUUUGACACUUGCAUGAAACAAGCGAUCAAGCAGCGUGAUUUAAUUAGGGUUUAGUGUAUAUGAAUUAAGGGUUCGAUGCAAUUCAUGGUGAUCAAAGCCAAAAGCCACAAACAGUCGAUGCGAGCGUUAAGUGUUGUCGCAUAGUGUUUUACCCUCCAAAAAUAAAGUAAUUUUCAUCUCUAAGCACUUAACUAACAUGGUCUAAGUCACAAUUAAUGCUGUAUCUUUCUUAAUAUAUGAUGUGUCUUUAUUUUAGAUGGCCUAUUAUAUAAUCUCUCUCUCUCCCUCUCUCUCUCUCUCUCUCUCAUGAGGUUAUAGUCUAACAAGCAUGUAAUUAAAACUAUGUAUGCAAUAAAUGCAUCCUAGGGUUUCUGAAGAAGCAAUGCAACUGAGAUCUGCUUCUACAACUCUUACCAUUCCAAAUGUUGUGAUGACAAAGUAGGAUAAAAUAAAAUAAAACCAAGUGCAUUAAAUGCCUAACUAGUAUAUUGUCUCUUUACUUCAUGAGAUAAGCUUUGAAGGCCCACGUGCAUGAUGUUCUAGUGAGAGAGAGAGAGAGAGAGAGAGAGAGAGAGAGAGAAAGCAAGGAAGCAAAGGGAACGGCGUAUUUCUCGCAUUCUCCCACGUCGAAGAUUCCUACAAAUUAUUAGGAGUGGUUUAAUUACUUUUCUCUCUCUCUCUCUCUCUCUCUCUCUCUCUCUCUCUCUCUCUCUCUAUAUAUAUAUACACAUUCAUUUAUGCGAGCUAACAACUACUCAAAAAAACCGACCGUCCCUGGAGCAAGUGGUAAAGGCUUUGGUAGUUGAUACCCGAAAUCCAAAUUCGAAUCUAGUUGAUUCACAUUUCUAGCUAAGUUUAUUUCUAAGGCUUAGUUUAGUAUUAAGGUCUAUCUAACGCUAUUAGAUAAAAUAGAGUUGAGAAAAAAGCAUAUAGGGAUAUGCUUCUGCGUUCUCCGGUGGGACCGCAGAAAAUAUAUCGUAACCGACUCAUCGCGAUAUGCGGAACGCAAUAUUACGUACGGAACCAAACAAGAUAUUUUCCCAUCGUCCUUUCUCACCGCACGUAACGCAAUCUCCCCGCAAAAGCAAACGAAGCAAACGAAGCGGAUAGCGUGCUACCCAUCUCUUAAAAACAAAAAAACAAAAAAAAAAAACUACUUCUCAAAAAAGUAAAAAAAUAAAUGCUUUGUAAA